rnacentral:lncRNA from 1 species
ACGGGGUAAGGUAAAGCAGAUAUCACAUCUAUUUUAGCUUUAUCAACCUCAAUUCCUCUAGACGACACUACAUGUCCUAGAACUAUCCCGUGCUCAACCAUAAAGUGGCAUUUUUUCCAAUUGAGCACUAAGUUAGUCUCAAUGCAUUUUUUUAAAAUCAAUGUCAGGUUAUCUAAGCAAUCGUCAAAACUAUCACCAUAGACACUGAAGUCAUCCAUGAAUACCUCGAUUAUUCUCUCCACAUACUCAGAAAAAAUGCUAAUCAUGCACCUCUGAAAUGUUGCAGGGGCAUUGCACAAUCCAAAUGGCAUUCUUCGAUAGGCAAAAGUGCCAAAGGGGCAAGUGAAAGUUGUUUUCUUUUGAUCCUCUGGUGCAAUUGCUAUCUGAAAAUAACCAGAGAAACCAUCUAAAAAACAAUAAUAGGCACGACAAGCUAACCUUUCAACCAUUUGAUCGAUGAAUGGAUGAGGAAAAUGAUCCUUCUUGGUCACCGCGUUCAAUUUGCGGUAAUCGAUGCACUGGCGCCAACCCGUAGGCUUUCGAAUUGGAACGAGGUCCCCUUCAUGAUUUUCUUCCACAGUUACUCCUGCUUUCUUUGGCACCACUUGGACUGGACUCACCCAUGGGUUAUCUGAGAUAGAAAAAAUAAUUCCUACGUCCAGAAGCUUGAUUACCUCUUUCUUGACCACUUCCAUCAUGAUGGGGUUCAAUCUCCUUUGUGGUUGUCUUAUCGGCCUAGCAUCCUCUUCCAGGCGAAUUCGAUGCAUGCACACGGAGGGGCUUAUACCCUUUAUGUCCGCAAUUGUCCAACCUAUAGCUUCCUUAUGCUCCCUUAAAACCCGUAGCAGCUUAUCCUCCUCCCUGGGUGAUAAUUUGGAUGGGAUUAUCACUGGUAACGUCUCUUUUUCACCUAGAUAGGCAUACUUUAAAUGCUCGGGCAGAGGUUUUAACUCCACUUCAGGUGCCUGCAUGAUAGAAGGUAAUAGCUUUAGGUGUGGUUCAGGCACAAACAUAGGAGCGACAUCAUACCUUAGAAAACUUUGGCCUAGUGAAUGCAAGGCUCCAACCAUUCUUUGCAAACUGACACCUAACUCCAUUUCACAGGUUGCUUCCAGAUCCAAAUGUUUGGUGAUUGCUAUCUCCAAUUCAUCCCUGCUAUUAAUCUCAAAUACUUCUUGCACCAAAGGGUCAAUUACACUCACAGCAAAAAUAGCAUUAGAAUGACACGGAUAUUUCAUGGCCUCAAAAAUACUAAAAUGAACUAUUUUUCCAUCAAAUUCCAUCGUUAGGGUGCCCUCACUAACAUCAAUUUUUGUACGAGCCGUGCUCAAGAAAGGCCUCCCCAACAAAAUUGGUGAUGGAUUUGGAGAACGUUCAUCACCCAUAUCAAGAAUAUAAAAAUCAGCGGGGAACACUAAAUUGUUCACUUGCACUAACACAUCUUCUAUCACUCCAUCGGGAUAAGCAUUAGUCCUAUCAGCCAAUUGAAUUAUAAUGCCAGUUUCCUUUAAGUGACCCAAAUUUAGAGAAGCAUAAAUAGCCUUGGGCAUCACAUUUAUAGAGGCUCCUAGAUCUAACAUGGCAUUCCUAAUGCUAGUGUUCCCUAUUUUACAAGGCAUAGUGAACAUACUUGGGUCUCCAUAUUUAGGCGGAAGUUUUCUUUGAUGCACUGCAGAUACGUUCUCUCCCACAAUUAUCCUUUCAUCUCCCCUCAAUUUCUUCCUAUUGAUGCAUAGGUCCUUCAAAAAUUUGGCAUACCGGGGUACUUGCUUAAUUGCGUCAAGUAAGGGGAUAUUUAUCUCCACCUUUCUAAACAUCUCCAGAAUUUCCUUUUCCUUGUCUUGCUUUUUAGGCCUUUCCAACCUGCUAGGAAAAGGUGGUGGGUUAGGCUUAACUGGAACCACUGGGGUACGUAUUACCUCUUUAUUUAUGCCGGGCAUUCCUUCUUCCUCAAGCUCCUUCUCAAUGCGGUCCUCAUUCUUGUCCUUCAGAGCCACUGGUGCUGGUCCUUCAACCUCUUUCCCACUCCUGAGGGUCAUUGCACUUACAUUCUUGGGAUUCACCUCAGGUUGGGAUGGAAGUUUUUCCUUUCCCUGGGAGUCCAGUCGGUUGACAAUUGAGGCCAAUUGACUCAUCUGAUUUUCCAAGUUUUGCAUACUUCAUCUCUUGACUGCUGGCCUCAGUGUCCUGCUGAAAUUUCAUAGUAUUAGAGGCUAUGCUCUUAACCAUGUCUUCUAGGGACAUACCCGAGGCAGAGGAGGGUUGGUUCCUUGUUUGAUAUUGUUGCUGGAAGCCCUGCUGUUUAUUAGGGAUGAAAUUUUGUUGCUUAUUUCCCCUAUAGCUCAGAUUUGGAUGAUCCCUCCAACCCGGAUUGUAUGAGUUGGAAUAGGGGUUAUACUGUCUACGUGGCAUGGGCAUGUUACCAGCCAUGUUUGCUUGCUCAGUUCCCUCCUCUUGUAACUGUGGGCACGAGUCAGUGGUAUGACCAAUGUUCGUACAAAUCCCACACACUUUGGCCUGCUGUACAUUUCCUACAGCUAUCUGUCGAACAAAUGAGGUUAAUUCAGAUAACUGCUGUUGAAUGGAAGAUGAACUUACCUCGUUGACCUUUCUUGUAGGAAUAUCCUCCCUCGUACCAAACUGUUGGCAGUUCUCUGCCAUUCGCUCGAUUAGUUCCCAAACCUCUUGGGUAGUCUUAUUCACCAAUGCACCUCCACUCGCUGCAUCAAUGAUAUUUCUAUCGUUCAUCAGUAGCCCCUCGUAGAAGUAGUGAAUCAGCAGUUGAUCACUUAUCUGGUGAUGAGGACAUCGGGUGCGCAGCCUGGUGAACCUCUCCCAAUAUUCAUACAAGGAUUCCCCGUGAAAUUGUUUGAUGCCACAUAUUUCCUUUCGCAAACUAGCAGCUCUGGAUGCAGGGAAAUAUUUCUCAAAAAAAAAUUUCUUCAUCUCUGGCCACGUGGUGAUAAUGCCUGCAGGUAGACAGUAUAAUCAGUCCUUUGCCGAAUCCUUGAGAGAAAAAGGGAAGGCCCUUAAUUUAAUUUGUUCAUCAGUUACUCCCGAAGGCUUCAUACUCGAACACACCACAUCAAAUUCCUGCAUGUGUUUGUGGGGUUCCUCUCCUGGCAGACCAUGAAAAGUAGGUAACAAAUGUAUUAGACCAGGUUUUAAUUCAAAAGCUGCAUUCUCACUAAGGCGAGGAAAAGUUAUGCAAAGAGGUUGUUGGCUCAAGUUUGGAGCAGCCAACUCCCUUAAUGUUUGUGUGUUUGCCAUGGCGACGUUCUCUUGGUACGAAUCACUCGAAUUUUCGCCACGUAAAUCUGUCAACUCAGCCUCUGGAUCUAGUCUUUGAGAUGCCACACUGGAUUGCUCCUCUCUGAGCUGUCUGGUCUCUUUCCUAGUUCGGCGCGCAGUCUUCUCUACUUCAGGAUCGAAAAUUAGUUCGCCUGUACGAGAAGAACGAGGCAUAAACUAGAAAAAUACCAGAAAGAAAGCAAAAACAAAUUAGAUUUAAAAAGGGACAAAUAAAUAACGCCGGUCCCCGGCAACGGUGCCAAAAAUUGACAGGUGUCGAACCUGUGCAAUAAUAAAAAUAGAACCUAACUACCACUAAAAGCAGUCAAAAAUUAAUCCUAGGUACUGGAGCAGGGACUCUAGGUGUGCAAUGGGUUACUUGAUUCAUCCUGUUUCCGAAGAGUUUGCUUAAUCCGAUAUACCAAAAUUAAUUAAUUGACGAAAUUUACUAAAUAGUAGACAGUGGCAAGUAGGGUCGUCUUCUCAGGGACUGGAGAUAUUUGUCUCUUUUAAAUUCCAAUUGGUAAGAGGGGGAUUUCACCGAUAUGCAACUAAAAACAAUUAAACAAUCAUUACUAUAUAAAAAGUAUGAAUGUUGGUAUUUGGGAGUGCAAGUGUAAGCACUUUUUUAUCUUAGUUUUUGUUAUUCCUAAAUUACCCUCAUGUCUUUUAAUUAGAAUUAUUGCAUUUUAAGUGGCACUAAUUAAAAUAAAUAAAACACUUCAAUUGAUUACAUUUUAAUGGUAUUGGUAAAAAGUAUGAAUGUUGGUAUUAGGGAGUGCAAGUGUAAGCACUUUUUUAUCUUAGUUUUUGUUAUUCAUAAAUUACCCUCACGUCUUUUAAUUACAAUUAUUGCAUUUUAAGUGGCACUAAUUAAAAGAAAUAAAACACUUCAAUUGAUUACAUUUUAAUGGUAUUGGUAAUUAUAAUUAAAAAUUACUCAUUAAAAACUAUUUACCUACCCUUGGACUCCAUCUCCUAUUAUUAUAACAUAUCAAAAUUUCUUAAUUGAAGCAUGAAAAAUUUCUCAUUAGUCAUUAGUUGAGAUUGUUAAAAAAAAAUUAAUUUCAAAAAAUAGAUAUUCUCUAGAAAAUGGAGAAACAUACAAUGACAAGAAAAAUCCUUAUUCAUCUAUAUAUCUUCACACAAAUAUCAUGAGUAAAUUUUACAAUUAUGCACUUUUACCAAUAUGAAGAAUUUUUCACGUUGCACCUAAUAAAAUUUCAAUAUACAAAAAAUGAUGACACUUUUAUAAAUAAAAUAGCAGUAUUAAACAAGAAAAAAGAAAUCUAAAAUAGCACCAUACAAACCACUAUUAUCAUUAAUAGCAACCGAUCAAAACAAGAAAAACUAAAAUAAGAUUGAAAACUAUUUAUAAAAUGACAUAAAAUAAAUAGCAAAUGAAUUAAAAAGUUAGAAUACAAUUCAAAUAAUACCAAAGACAACAUCCAAAUCACUGAUAUCCAAGGGAAGACAAACAUUGUUAUUGACAAUAAUAUAGUAAUAUUUCAUUUGUAUUGGUUUGAACAAACCAAAUCCAUCCAUCAAGUCAGAAACCAUCUCCAAUGAUAAAAUAAGAAUUAUAAUAAGAGUAAAUAUAAAAUGAAGAAUGAUAAAAUGAAAAUGAUAUCCAAAUUAUUUUUGGUGAUAUCCAAAAUACCCUUAUUUUUCUAAUGAUUACAUAUAUUUAUUGUAUUGCAAUAUUAGUGACUAAUGGAAGCGGUUAUGAAAUGAAAAACUUUAAAAUUAAGUAAAUUUCAUUUAUGGUGACAAUUGUAAUUAAACAAAUUUAAUGCAUUCCAAUAAUUGAUAAUAAUGAUAGCAGUUAUGGAUUCAAAGUUGGCAAUUAAAAACUAAAACAUUGAAAUAUACAAAAAAUUAAUAUUAAAAUUAUUAAUUAGCCACAAUUCUCAUUCCAAUUUCAUGAUCAUAAAAAAAACUAAUAUUAAAACCAAAAAUAUUGUGCUCAUAUGAAAAAAGUAGACUUGUUGCUCUUGUUUCGCAUUGGAUUGUGCUAAAAACAUGAAUAAAAGAAAAGGAAAAUAGAAAAUCUCCAACUAUCUCUAUCUAUAAAAUUUCAAUUGUUAGAAUGUACAAGCCAAAAAAAAUUUACGUGAUGGAUCAUUUAUACUCCAUUAUUGACAAAAAUAUAAUUAACAUAAUACAAAGAAUUCAAAUUCAAAUUACAUUUAUGUUUAUUUUUCUAACUUAAUUAUAUUCUUCGUUUAUAAAAAAUUGUGAUGAUUGUGGUUUAUAUGCAAUAGAGUCAUGAAUAUACAAUAAUUUUGGUAAAACAUGAUAUUAUCAAUAUUUGGUAUGUUAGAGUUCAAGCUAUAAAUCAAAAAGUGUUUGGUUCAUGAUUUCAAAUUGGGCAUAUUACAUUUUACCCCCCUGUGGUUUAGCAUUUUUUUACAUAACCCCAUAUAGUUUCAAAAGCUAUACAUAACCCACUCAUGGUUUGGAUUAAAGUGCCAAAGUGACGGAAAUAGUCACUCGUUUGGAACUUCUAAAAAUGUCGAAAUUACCCUUAUAAAUACGUGGCACAUUAACCCCGUAUGAUUUUUAUAUUUUACUAUAUAACCCCCUUAUGGUUUAAUACUUUACUAUAUAACCCCCUUAUAAUUUUCAAAAUAUACACAUAACCCCCCUUAGUUAAUAAAUAUUCAACUUUACAUAAGGGUACUUUUAACAUUUUAGGUGACUCCGUUACAAAUGGUCAUUCCCGUCACUUUGACAUUUUAAUCCAAACCAUAAGGGAGUUAUGUAUAACUUUUGAAACCAUAGGAGGAUUAUGUAAAAAAACGUUAAACCACAGGGGGGUAAAGUAGAAUUUGCCCUUUCAAAUUCAAUCUUAAGGGAUAUGUCAACUAUAUUGAAAUGUUUUCCGUCUCUUUUCUUUUAAUAAAAUUUUUAAAAGUAACUAGCUUAAAAAAAUAAAUAACAUAAAAGUACUAUAUUAUGAUGUUGAUCAUCAAAAUUUCAUAAAAAAUUUUAGUAUCUAAAAAAUAAUAUAUUUUAAGAUAUUACAAUCACGUGCAAAGCACGUGAACUAUUACUAGUCCAACUAAAAAUAAAUAAUUAACUAGCACAAAUAUAGCAGGAAUUAAAUCAAGAAUAAAUAAAUUCUAGCCAAGGAUACAACUACUCAGACACAGUCCAUUUAUCCGAUCAUUGAUGCAAGAAAGGUUCACUUAAUUUAUUAAUAGGCUAGUUAUAGUCGUCGAUGAACUCCAACGACUAAUUUUUCCUUAAUUUAUUGAUAACCAAGGUACGACCAUUGAUCACCCCUAACCAGAAAAUACUCUUAGGUACGACCGUAGGAAUCAAUUUCCCAAUUGCAUUAAUAACUAGAAAAACCUAGCCCAAAUCAAUAACACGCUACGAGGGUUAUUUAAAUUAGAUUGCACGUCCCCCUAAUGUGUAAACACACCAGUUGCCACUAAUAUUAAUCAAUCAAACAAUUACGAAUUUAAUUGACUAAAUUGGCACGAGAUUAAUAAAUUACAUUGAACAUCGGGCCCUUGACAUCCAAUUAAUAAAAUAAUCCCAAGAAAAUUCAAGCAGACAACGUGCAAAUAUUAAUAAACUGAGGAACGUGUGAAAACUAAUUAGAUCUCACAGAUUUUCGGGACUGCGCCGUCGAGUUGACCCUUGACUAGAUGGAAGGCUUAGCCACGCCGCAUAAUUAAAUCACCAUACGAAUUAAUGGAUUGCAAAGGCAUUGCGUGUUUACUAGAAAGUAAGGAAUAAAAGAUGUUUUUCCCGUUGGGGAAUAUUGUCGAACACCUGGCGUGUGUCAGAGGUUAGUCAAAAGAAAGAAACUAGAACUAACUAAAAGCUAAAACUCAAAAGCCCCCCUUUUGCUUCUGUACGUUGUCCCUUUUAAAGAGCCAAAAGAAAGAUGACUAAAAGCUAUCUAGGUGGUCCCCACACAUGUGGACAAAGCCUCCAAAUUACUUCUUGUUCCAAGUCUCUCUACGUUGCUUUCUUUGAAGAGCCUAAAUGACUAAAAAUCUUUCACUAGCUUUGUGGUCCCCCACCAAUUCAAGGGCCCAAGGAUUGAAGCCCUUAGAAGUCUCCAUUUUCUCCAUAAAGUCCCUCCUUUUUGGUAGUUUUCUGUUUCAUUCCUGAAAUUAAGUCCAGAUACCAAAUAUAAGUAGAUAUCAACAAUUAACGCAAUAUUGGGCAGGGAUAAAAGGGGAAAUUGAUAAUAAAAUUACUAACAAAUGAUACCCUAUCAAUGAUUCAGUUAACCCAAGAAAAUCUCGCUCAUUUUGGUCACUGAAACAAAUAUGCAACAAAAGCUUUGAUGGUAAAGGUUAUGAAAUAUUUUGCUUAUUCAUGAUAAUAUUUACCUAUAACUUUCAAUCGUGAUAAAGAGGAAGAAAGGGCCGACUCUGCAUCCAACUUGGCACUUGGCAUACCUACUCUGUUGUUGUUCCAAUAAUCAGUUGAUAUACUUUCAAGGCAAGAAAGACUUUCAAAAGUAAAGUCAUCCCAAACAAAACUCAGACUCAGGACUUCACAUAGCAAAUCACGAGGCGAACAGGAAAUUGCAUGACAUUUUUGUUUAGUCAAUUAUUCAGAAAGCUAAAUCAGUAUCUGUUUGUUUUUGUUGUUCAUUUCUAACCUAAAUCAGUAAGCAGAUAUCAAAUCUUUCUAUUCAGUCCACAAGUACCAGAAGUAUCAUAGAAACUAUAUUGGUUUUUGUUCAAAACACUGAAAAAAAAGAAAGUUCUAUAACAAUAAUGACUGGCAUCCACAAGCAUGAGAGGCAGAGAGCCCCAGAAUUGCCUUGAAAGCGAACUCUUUGAGACUGCAAGAUGCAACAGGUAGAGCUAAUCACAACUAUUUUACUCUUAAAAUCUCAUAUCAUCGCAUUUGAACUUAAGACUUCAGUAGAGGAUGGUCUACCAAGUCUCUGCUGCUUGAAAACAUCUUAAACGCGCGUGACAAUUUUUUAAGCUUUUAGCUAAUGCAUUGGUUAUUAAAGUGCUUAAAACCCAACAAUAAGUAAUGGAAGAAGAUUGUUGGUAUUAUAAAUUAUCAGACCACCAAUCCCACAACCAAGGACAGUGAGAGUAACUCGAUUGACCAUUGGAUUUAGGUCAAGAGAUCAUAGCUGAAGAAAGUAGAAUCCCAUCAUUUAAGAGACAUAAUAAGAAUACCAAUAAUCAGAUAAUUUGGAGCAAGAUGAUAAAUACAUUUCCAAGAGAUGGAAGUUCAGAGCAAGCAUUUCCAUCCCGGUAGAAUCUCAAGUUUAAAGAGAAUUAGCUCCUUUCAGCAAUCAUGAUAUACAACUGGAAGUAGCAGACAUAUGAGAUGAGCAAAAGUAAACAGCUAUUUUUUAUUUAAAACAAAGAAUUUUGUACUGUAGAUGUAAAUACAAAAAGUUUUCAGCUUUGACAUCAUGUUUAACUGUCCACAUCAAAUAAUCUCCUCUUGAACAUCUGUAUUCCAUAAUUGAAUUUAAUAUAUGGUUAGCGAUAUUGUUUUCUUCCCGGAACAACGCUUGUUGAGUUUUUCUGAAUCAGACUGAAAAGGCCAAGAAAAGUUCAACAAAGCAGACAACUGACCUUACUGUUACAUUACUAGACAACAUCUUGGAAGCAGACGUUUUAAACCUUCAGAUAGUUUACAACAAAAUCAUCUUAUUGUACAAUUUCUAUCACCUGAUAUUGGAUAGAUUUAAAAGGAUUUAGUAAUGAUUUUACUGGAGUAUAUUGUCCUGAAGAAACAAAAAACUAGAAAUUGACCCCUAAAAUCUUUGUCCAUCAUUGCCUAUCUAUAAUUUUCUGUGUUCCAUCAAACUUUGAUUUAACAAUCUAUUUCAUGAAUGUAAACGCAUUUUCAUUCUUUUUUAGCAAAUUGAUAACCAAAUGAACUUUUAGAGUGCUUAGUUGGAUGAGGAGCUUUUAGAUUGAAAAUCUCAGGAAGGCAUGUUUGCCUGCAUUACAAUAAAGAUAGAAGAGCAUAUUCCAUGUCAUUUUUGACUAGGAAUCUUACAGAAAGAAAGGUUUUUGUUUUUUUUUUUUGUUACCUUUGUUCUAAAACUAAUGAGCAGGAAAUAAGACUCGAUACUAAGUACAUCUACUAAUCCAUUUACAACAAAUUCGCUAACCUUACAGUACUUCUUGAAAAUUUGCAAGCUCCUCAUUGUCAAUCUGUUUCUUUGAUACAAGCUCUAUCGCCAACCAUACCCCCCAUGAUCAUUAGCAGAAAUUCAUGGUAAUGAUGGCUUUUGAUCAUGAAAGACAUUACAUAAGCUGGGGAAAGAAAUUCUGGUGGGCAAUUUGUAGAGGCCAGCUGACACAGAUAGAGCAUUUUUUCAGGUUUUACACAUUAGGAAGAAAGAAAAGUGUGCUUGUAGUGUGCCAUCCUAAUCAUUUCUGUCCAAUUGAAACAGGAUUUGAUUCAACAAAGUUUUCAAAAGUUACAAGCUGUGUAAUUCAAUCAAUAAGUAAGUGCAAUUGUAGAUUCUAGUUCACAUUUGAGCCUGAAAUCAUUGCAGAACAGAAAACUCGAGUUGAGACAAUAUGUGAACAAGAAAGUUCAGAAAUUUCAGCAAUAAUUUUGUUCUGUCAUUCCUACAAAAGGCUAAAAUAUGCCUUGUUUGUUAUGAAACUAAAUAGAUAAGCAAGUACUAAGUCGUGUUUACAAUUACAGUAGUUUGGUUCCAACCACAAAGCAAGUGAUUACAACUCAUAAAAUGAAAAUAAUAAUGGACAAUUUGUAGUGCGGGCAAAGCAUUUCACAUUGAGGCAUUGAGAAACAAUAGAGCUGUGGGCCACUGAGGCACAAUAGAGAUCCACGUUUAAUUGCUACCAAAACACCAGUUAGUUCUAACCUCUAACUCUGAGCAGUAUGCUAGAGAUGACAAUUUGAGUUCUAAAACAUGUAAAUCAGCUCCUCAUUAUCAUGACUACACAUCACUGAAUCAUUUCGAUAGUUUAAAAGAACCAUACCCCAAUAGAAAUCUCAGACUUUGACCAUCUGAGGCACAGAGGAAAAGAGAAUGCCAUCCUAGAUGUUGCUAUUCAGCCGAAGCAGGAUCUUGUUCUGCAACGAAUUGUAGGACUUUCAAAAAGUAAAGACAGUAGGUAAGAGCCAUCGAUGAGGUUCCCUGUUGAGGUUUGUGCCCAAAAUCACUGCAAAGCACAAAAACUCAAACUGAAGGCGGCAAAUAGCAUAGAAUAAAACUAAUGGAAAUUUUCAGAUAAUUGUAGUUUUUCUGUCAUUGUAAUUGAAGCCCCAGAAGGAGAAACUUACCUUAAAAAAAGAAGCAACCAACAAUCAUAAAAGCAGAGAGAGCUUAAAAGCCUUUAUCAAGGUGGAUUCAUUAACAGUAGCAAGUCGGAACAAGCAGACUUGACCAACUACCGGAAUGCUUCAAAACUUUGCGCUUAGAGUUAAAUUGUGAAAAUAACCACGGGGACUUUUUAGGUUUUCUCACGAGAAGGUUAAUCAGAGGGGGAGAUGAAGAGAAGGUGAUAUUGAUUGUAAAGCGAAUUAAGAAAGUUGGUAGGAGGAAAUCUUACAUGAUUGAAUUUGAUCUGAAGAUGAGUGGUUAAUCAACCUAUGUAUAGGUCUUGAAUGUGAGAAACUUUGGACCACUAGGAGUCGGGGCCGCUGCUCUCAAGAGUGCAUCUUUCUUUUAACAGAGGACAACGAUAAACCUCCAGAGAUUUUAGUUUGGUGAGACUUCUCAUGGCAUCCUCAGAGGGUAAAUGUCGAAGCUCUUUGAAAUCAUAUAAAUACAGGUAUUCAAGAGCAACGAAGUUUCCGAACCAAUCUGGCAGAGCUUUUAUACCUCCGAAGUUACUUAGCGAUAGUGACGUGAGAUUGGUCAAGUAUUGGAUCUGAUGUGGCAGGGACUCCAUGUGUGGCAACCCAACUAAUCCUAAUUCACGGAGUGCGGAUGACGAAGGGGAGGAGGAGGAGGAUAUCAAUCCACACCAAUCAAACUCAUUGUAAAUUGAAGAAUUUUCAUGAUCAUCACCAUCAUCUGAGAAGGGACCAAUUGCAAGCUCCCUUAAGCUGGUUAGAAAACCAAAUCCUUUGGGCGUCAUGCUUGUUUUCAAUUUGGGACACCUGUAUAAUUCCAGCUUCAAGAGAGAAGGCGUUUGUUGCAAAUCAAGCAGAAAGGAGACAAGAUUGCCGCACCAACUCACCUGAAGCUUCUGGAGAGAGGCACAAGAGUGUAGCAAGUCACCGGGCAGAUUCAUCAACCCAUCGCACUCAUCAAUCACCAGCUCUUUAAGAGACGUAAAGUUUUGCAAGGGAAGGAGUUCUCUGCAUCUGUGGCAGCGAUUAAACUCCAAACUCGUUAACUUGGGGAGUGUUGUUGCAAACUCAGGGAGUGUUGUUGUUGUUGUCAAAUCCAUUAACCAUCGAGGAAAUUGAUCGUCCAGAAAAUACCAAAUUACCAACUCCUCCAAAUUCGGGUGGGGUUGAAGGCCAUCCAACACAUCUUUGUCGAUGUAGUCGUGGCCUUCUCGAUCCUGGGCCCACUUAAGUUGCAGCCUAAAUAGAUUUGCCUUUUCAAAUAGUUUUGCUUCCUCAGCUCCUUCCUUAUCCAUUACUAGUUCCAGAUUGCGUAUCUCCAAUUUGCCUUUGAGGUUCUUCAAGCUUCCAAGCUCUCCAAUGCGUCGACCCUUCUCUCGACCCACGUUAAAGAACUCAAGUGUCUGAAGGCAAGUCAGCCGUCCCAUAUUCAGCGGCAUUUGAAAUUCUGUAUCAAAGGUGUAAAAGUGGAGAUGUCUCAAGCUAAUCAAAUUGCACAUCCCCUCUGGAAGAACUUUAACAUUUGAGUUACUUAGCGUCAAUGUUUGCAGAUUGUAAAGCUUGCAAAGGGAGUCCGACAAAAUACUGAUUGGAGAAUACAAAAGGUUAACAUACCGCAAAUGUAUCAAGUUGCCAAUUGAAAUUGGUAAUUUUCCAACUGUUGCAACCAAAACAUACAAGUUCUUCAACUUCAUUAACAUAUCACCAGAAAAGUAAUAAUUUACAAACAAUGUAUGAAGCGAAGUUGAUAGACUCUCCAAAAAUUUUUCUGUAUCUUCUUCAACACCAAAUGAGUCUAUUGUAAGGUAACGAAUCUGAUUACCAUUGUCUACUGUAUGUGUAUCCCUAUCAAUAAUGACUUUGGUAGACUUUGACAUUGACCCUGCAAGGUCGUGCACCAAAUCAUGCAUCCUAUAAGAUGUUAUCAACCGAUCAGUUAUUUCUUCCAACAAUGAACUCUGCAAUAAAAUUCUCAAAUAAUUCAUUCCAAUUUCCUCCAUCGUUUGGUUUUUGACGUCUGCUUGGAGGAAACCUUCUGCCAUCCAAAGUUCGAUAAGCAUAUUCCUUUUUAUCUGACUAUCCUUAUGAAAUAUAGACCAAUGUGCAAAACAUUUCUUAAUGUUUCGAGAUGGCAAAUUAUCAAAACUCAACUUAAGUAUUUGCAUCACACCAUCCUCACCUGCACUCAAACUCGAAAGCCUAUUCUCCAAAAUUGAUCGCCACUCCUCUUUUCUCUUUAAAGAUAACAGACCUCCAAUUACACUUGCAGCCAACGGUAGACCAUCACAUCUUUUGAUUACUCUCUCUUUAAUUGCUUUUAGUUCAUCAGGUUCUUCUUCCCCUCCAACUACUUUUUCUUUUAUGAUAGACCAACAAUGAUCAUCAGGUAGUCUUCCUAAGGCAUAGACUAAUUCAGUUUCCAUCAUCAAAACUCUAGACACACUAUGUGCCACUGGACCUAAACGAGUAGUGACCAGACACCAACUUCCAUUAAUUGGAUUGAGCCCCUUCAAGAUGGUGAAAAAGUCAUUCCACAAUACCUGAUUAUCAUCCCACACAUCAUCAAGGACUAGGAAAUAUCUUUUUCCCCCUAGGUGAUUCCCAAUUUUUCCAACGAUGAGAUUCCUAUCAUCUACUUCAACCUUUUCUUCCGUCAAUUGCACUAAUAUGAGUUUGAAAAGCUCCUCUAUUUGAACUUGUCUUGAUACACAAACCCAAAUUUUUUUGUUAAAGUGUUCAUCAAUUUGCUUGUUGUUGUAUAUGGAUUUAGCCAAAGUUGUUUUGCCUAAACCUCCCAUACCAGUUAUGGGAAGAACAGAAACAACCUUCUCAGACAGGCUCAACAAAAUCUUCACUAUCUCUGAUUCAUCAUCGGCUCUUCCAACCAUUGGAGCAACAACAGAGUCGGUCUGCCGACUUCUCGUGUCUCCAACAGCAGGAGCAGCAGGGAGGGCAGUUGUCAUGACUGCCCUACUGACCAGUCCCAAUCCAUGGGCAUCUUGAUAGAUGCCAUUCAACUUAAGUUUGAUGUCCCUGACCUUAGAAGCCAUUCUCCAACGAAAAGCAAGAUUAAUAUUAGAGCAGGAGAAGAAGCAGCAUACCUUGAGCUUGUGUCGGUUUCGGGACUCCACCUGGUGACGAAGAGAUUCAUAGUGGAGCUCAUCCAACACAUUGUCAGCAUCAUAAGCAACCUCCUCGAGACUAUUCAACCAUCGUUGCACUCCGCUGCUUUGGUUUUGCCUUUCCUCAGCAUCAGCCAGGACAUCUUUGAUAAAGCGGAGAGAACGUGUCAUGCCGGCCACAUCCUUCUUGAACCCAACUAGCAAACCAAUCCUAGUAGAGGCAAGAGACAGUGCCCUUUCCAAGGUGACCUGAAUUGUGGAGCUGAUAAGAGCGUCAGCCAUUUUUUUUUUUUUAAUAAAUGACUUGGAUUCAGUCUUGAGAUCAAGAUGGUUUUUUAAAAUGGGAGGUUUUAGCAGCCAGAAAUUGGUAAUGUUACAAGUGGUUAAAAGGAGAAGAGCAUUGAUAUUUGGUCCGCUUAACAAUGCAGAGUUAUUCUUAACUUGGAUGCCUUCGUUCGCAAAGGAAAUAUAUAUUCCGUGCAUGGCAUCUUCACUUUAAGUUUCUUGGAUGCUUUGAAAUGCUGAGUUAUUCUUAACUUGGAUGCCUUCGUUCGCAAAGGAAAUAUAUAUUCCUUGCUUGGCAUCUUCACUUUAAAUUUCUUGGAUGCUUUGAAAUGGAAAUUCCUGGAUGGGAUUUUCACUUUAACUUUCUUGCUGGGACGGGGCCUUCAUCUUUAUUCGUUAAUCCUUGAAAGAUGAACUAAUUAGAACAUAAUUUCGUUACACCUUAUCCUGUUAGCUUCCACACUAACUCUGUUGGAUUUUGCUUCUUAGCUAGAGACAUAAUUUGUGUCUCAAUACAAAAAUCAAUUAGGCUUCUAAUUAUUUUGUAAUUCAGAAUCUGAUAUCGUUGAGCAUUGAGCCUUUUCAACUUUGCAUAAUUCCUUGCUUGUGUUAAUACCUGUGGCUGUGGUGGAUGAACUUUGGCAAAGAAUAACUUGAAAUGUGGAUUUGCUUCAAACUUAUAUUCUGAAAUGAAGUUCGGCAAUUAAUAGAGGCCUAAACAAUUAUUCAGCCUUACUACUUUACAAAAUUUAUCUAAAAAAUUCAACCACAGUGUGAUGGUGAUUUAUAGAUUGAUUAUCACAUAAACAAACCAACUCAUGCUUGUAAUGCAUAUAAAUGAUAUUUAACCAAAACAUUUGAAUUGAAGAUAAAGAAAAAAAUUUUUGAACUUCAUUAGAAUCGGGAGGUAACAUUUAUGUCCUCCUCCAUCUUAUACUUAUUUUCAAGUGACUUAAUAAAUUUUAACUUUUAUUUGGAAAAAAAAUUUAAGGAGUACAAUUACCCUAAUCAGUGAGAAAUUUCAAGUGGCAUGGCAUAGAUGUUAAAAAUAAAUUUCAACCUGUUGAUCUUGAUCCCUAUCUUUUGAUGUUUACAAAACAAAUGGAUGAUACUAAUAUUUCUUCAAGAUAUACUUUCAGUUUUGAAGUUGUUUGAUUCCAUGAACAAGUGCAAUUGAAAGGCAAAGUUUGCUGAAGCUGUCGGACGUUCAAGAAGUCAGGAUCGGACGUCCGAAAGGAUGAAGAACAUCAAGAAGGAAACUCUGUCGGACGCUCGUGAGGAAGCAUCGGACGUCCGGAAGUAUCGGACGCACGCCUCGGACGCACAUCGAUCGCAUCGGACGUCCGAGAAAUUUCGCAAAGAUUUGAUGACUCUCUGACGACGCUCGGACGCAGGGUUCGGACGUCCGACAGGUGGUUUGGACGCAGGGUUCGGACGUCCGACAGGUGGUUCGGACGUCCGACAGGCCAACGGCUAGUUUUGACAGCAUUUAAUAUUUGACCGUUGGAGAGCCUUUUGGAGCCAUUUCUCACCUUCUAUAAACACCCCAAAGCACAAGAAGACAAUGGACUUUUGCCAACACAAAAUACAAGCUUACAAGUGAGAUUUUUGAGUAGAAAGAUUCUUUGUUGGUUGUAUAAGGGGUUGGGGAAGUUGGGUUGUGAGGUUGCUCAAGUGAAGGUUACUCUCUAGGAGGAGUAAAACCUUGGUGAAGGUGAACCUAUCACUUGAAGUGGUAAAACCUUGGUGAAGGUUGCCUCAUUUGUAUAAAAUAGUUCUUAAUUGGGUGAGUGAUCUUUCAAGUGUAGGUUGUUGAGGGUUAACUAGAAUAGUUGUAAAACUCCUUGGCUCAACCAAAGAGUGUUUGGGGUGAGGAAGGAGUGAGCCUUCACUUGUACAUCUUGGUUAGCAUCGCCAUCUAUUGAAGAGGCUAUUGGAUUGAUAUUUGGUUUGCAUUUCUUAUCUUUUCUCUUUAAUUAAGUUUUCUUUAUUGUGCUUAAAUUUGAUAUAUCUUUGUGCAUCAUUGUGAAAUUGUUUGUACUCAUUGGGUUGUACCAGGCCUUACACAACCAAGAUAAGUAAGUGCUCUGUACAACAAAUCCUUCAGAAAUAAAUAUUUACUGUACUCUCAACUUGGGCAUACCUGCAACUUGCCACCCUGCGCAAGCAUGGUGAACAUCUCCUAGUUUAAUAAGAUCAGAUUAGAAAGAUUGUUUUGUGGAACUACACAAAAUAAUACGAUACAUAAUUAUAUCUCUCACAAUCAUUUGUUUAGGAAGAUUGUAAUCAUGUAGGACUCAAACAGAAGCAUUAGAAAAAUUAGAUUAGAUGACCAGUAUGAGGAAGGGUAUUUUAAGCAUUGCAAAAAAAAAAAAGGAAGAAAUACCAUUAUAUAUAGCUCCAGUCCUUAAAGUUUUGACAAAAACAAAUUUAGUCCUCAAUGUGCAGCACAUGCACAAUUGUAGUCCCUAAAGUUUUUAUAAGAACAACUCUGGUCUCUAAUGUAUCCAAUAUAAAUUAGAUUUAGCAUAAAUGAAUAUUUUUACAUUACUGACAAAAUUUAAAUAUAACAAUAAAGAAAAAAUAGUGGCUAACUUUAAACUACAAUAUUAAGGACUAAUGACUCACGUGCUAACUAAUUAAUUGGUUAAAAAUAUUGUCAAAGUACAAAACUCAAACUAGUCAGAGCAUUUAAUUCAUCAAUUUAGAACUCAUUUUCUUUAUCUAUCCCUACCGACCCUCAGGAAAAAAAAAGAAAAGAAAAGCCCCAACACUUGGUUUUUGUGCAUAAUUAAAUAAAUUUCCUUUUUUCCUAUUUUCUUGGUUAAUUAAUAACUCACGUGUCAUCACAUGAGUUGCUCUUGCUGUUUAAGGUUAUCCGUUGAUUUGCUUCUUUCUUACAAAAUUAAUUUAAAGUACACAUGCAUGACUGAACAUUAUUAGGUUCCAUUAGUAAUUAAAAAAUGUUAGUCAAUUGUCGUAAAUUUGCUUAAAUUCAGAAACUAUUUGGAACCAAAAUUAUUUUUGAUCAAAAUUUUUGCCAAAAAUUGAGGACCAUACUUUUUUUUUUUUUUUUGCUAAAACUUUAGAACUAAAACAGUACAAGUGCAAAACACUAAGGACAAAAACUACAUUUUUUUUUUUGAAAAAUUAAAAGAAACUUCGGAAAACUGGGAAAUGAAUAUCAGUAGUAGGAAGAGGUGAGAUUUAAGUAACUAAAGUUUUGAACCUAGAUGAACAUCCAAUUCCUAUCAUUUCAACCUUAACUAAUUGUCCAAGGCCUAUUCUGCGCAUAAGGGCUCAUCUCAUGAAGAAAAAGCCAAAUUAUUAAAUGCCAAAAAGAAAGAGGAGCCGUGCAAGACUGGUGUAGUUGUUUAUUUUUGGACACUUUUGAGUAGGGGUGUGCAAAGUCGAAAAAUUUCGAUUUCGAAUUGAAUUCGGAAGUUCGGUAAUUCGGAAGUGAAUUCGGUAAUUCCGAUUUCGAAUAUGUCGAAAUCGGAUCGAAUUCGAAAAUAAGAAUUUUGAAAUCGGAAUUACCGAAUUCGAAUUGGGAAUUCGAAAUAGGAAUUCGAAAUUGGAAAUUCGAUAUCGAAUUCGAAUUAAUAUAAUUAAUAUAUUAUAUUCGAAUUAUAUAUAUAUACAUAUAUAUUAUAUAACAUAAAAUAAGUUAAUAACUGAAAUUAAAAUUGAAACCCAAAAACCCUACUCUUUUCAGUUUUCACUUACUCACGCCAGUCACCUUGGCUCUUCCGCCGCCCUCUUCCUCAUCGCCUCUUCCUCCGACUCAGCUUACUCUCUCACUCUCUCAGUUUCACCUUCAUAUUUCUCCCCUUCUUCAAGCCCGACAGAGACAUAAAGUGUUGGCACACGUUCUUCUCUACGAGACUCCCUCGGCAUCUGGAUUCUGGAAGAUACCUCUGCACCGACUGCCGAGAGCGUUCUUCAUCGUGGUGAAGUGGUUGAAAUCUUGGCCAAACUCUUUCCAAAGUAUCUGAUUCCAACAAAGUAAGUUCACUUGCUCAAUCAUUCUGAUUCUAGUCCAAUUCACUGUAACAUUAUUCAUUAUUUUUAGGUAAAAGUAAAACCCAAAAAAGCGAAAGUGGUAAAUCAAAUUUAUGCUGUAGAAAAUUGAUGAGCCCACAAAUUAAUUUGGUGGCCGUUUGACUAAUGUUAAGUGAAAUGGUUUACACCUAAGAUUUUUUUUCACUAGUUCGAAUUAUUCUUUUGAAUAUGCAGAAAUUUAGCUCUUAAAAAAACUUAAAUAAGUUCUUGAAAGUAGGUAAUCUGGACACGAUACCUGAAAAGUGUGCCCAGAUAUGAUUUGGGAGUGUUGGGAGGUUAACUAAGGUAGCGGAGGUCCGAGGAGAAUUGAGACUUGGAAGGUAUAAGUGUCCUGUAGUGUAGUGUUGGUAAAAGUUGUAUUAUACAAGAAGUAUGGUCCAGAUAUGAUUGAAGCUUCAUUUCGACACCUUGCUGUUUCUUUAAGUUGUCAGCUGUGAAAAUCUUAUCAACAUACUUUUUGCACCAAGAAGCAAUUUGUCACACGGUGUGGUGUUGAUUAAUUUGCCAAGUUUUUUAUGCUUGUUGUAAUAUAAAUGCAAAGGCAAAAGUACAAACAUGACUGGGUGCAAAGGAUUCCUCUUUUUUUUUUCUUUUUUUUUGGGGGUUUUGUUUAUCCUGUUGACCAUGGCACAUCUUGUAUCUGGUAGUUAUGGUACCAUACACUUAUAAGAGGUGCUUGGCAAAAAGAAACGGGAGAGAGUGUGUUAGUUAAAAAAUGUAAAAACAUCCUCUAUGACUAUAAAUCCUUUAUAUAAAAUAACUUUUUUUCUUGAAAAGCAUUUAUCUGCAUUGAUUUCACUAUUUUGAUGAGGUUCAGCUGAAGAUAUUUUAGUUGUAUACUGAAUUUAUAAAUCGCAAAACUUUAUAUUUGCUGCUAUGUUUGGCUCCAUCUUCUUACUUUCUAUGCUAAAUUGGAAACAAGUUCUCCAGGAAACUGCAUUAUGUGAUUCAAACUCUCAAUAUUUCUUCAUUUUAUUGUCUAAUCUAUUGCAUAUAUUGGGAAACAUAUCUUCAUUUUAUUUCCAUUUUCUUUUGCAUAUCAGUAAACAUGUCCACUUUUGAGAUAGAAGGUUCAAGUGAUUCAACACCAUCUUCAAGUCCAGCUCCUAUUUCCGGCAGCUGUGAAGAAUCUGGCCUUGGUGUUAAGAAAAAGAGAGGCGAGUACAAGAAAAGGUCACCAGCUUGGGAUCAUUUUCAGCCUCACUAUGUCCAAGGUGUUCGUCAUGGCAUAUGUAAUUACUGUACGAAAAUGAUAGCUGCUGAUCCGAAGUCUAAUGGUACUAGUCCUCUCUUAUCCCAUGUUAAAUCAUGUGAAAUGAAUCCUACAAAUAAGUCUAAGGGGCAAGGUACAUUAUGCUUGGGUGAGGUUGGUGGUCUUGGGGGGGAUGUUAAGAGUGCACUUAUUAGUUGGAAGUAUGACGCUGAUGCAAUUAGAAAAAGCAUUGCUUAUAUGUUGAUUGUUUAUGAAUUGCCAUUCAAACAUGUAGAAGGUAAAGGAUUUCAGCAUGUCAUGAGAACUGCUUGUCCUUCUUUUCAAAUUCCUUCAAGGUGGACAAUUACUAGAGAUUGCUAUCAACUUUAUUUAGAUGAAAAAAUUAAGUUGAAGAAUAUGUUGAGGCGUAGAGCUGUUAGAGUUUGUCUUACCACUGAUUGUUGGACAUCUAUCCAGCGAAUAAAUUAUAUGUGUUUGACAGCUCACUUUAUUGACUGUGAUUGGCAAUUGAACAAAAUAAUUUUAAAUUUUUGUCCAAUUAGUAGUCAUAAAGGGACUGAAAUUGGGAAGAGUAUUGAGAAAUGCUUAUUAGAGUGGGGGAUUGAUGAUAUUUUCACAGUAACAGUUGACAAUGCUGCUUCAAAUGACACGGCUGUGCAAUAUUUGGUUGGAAAAUUGCAAAAUUGGGGUAAAUCUAUAUUAGGAGGAAAGUGGAUUCAUAUAAGAUGUGUAGCUCACAUAAUCAAUUUGAUUGUGAGUGAUGGCCUAAAAAAAUUUGGGGGGUCCGUUGAUUCUAUCCGAACAGCUGUGAGAUACAUUAGGCAAUCACCUUCUCGUUUGAAAAAAUUCAAGGAAUGUGCUGAAAUUGAAAAAAUUGACAGUAAAAGGUUACUAAGUUUAGAUGUGGCAACUAGGUGGAACUCAACCUACUUAAUGUUAGACAGUGCUCAUAGGUUUGAGAGGGCAUUUGAGAGGUUUGAGGAGCAAGAUCCAUAUAUGCUGCAUGAGCUAGAGCACUUGCCAACAAAAAGUGAUUGGGAAAAGGCAAGAUUCUUAACUUUAUUUUUGGAGAACUUUUAUGAUCUCACAGUAAAGGUUUCUGGUUCCAAAUAUGUGACAUCUAAUAAUCUUAUCAAUGAGCUUAGUCACAUUAAUGGCAUCCUAAAGGAAAUGGCAGAAAGUGCUAAUCCCGACUUGUGUGGAAUGGCAAAAAUAAUGAAAGAAAAGUAUGAUAAGUAUUGGGGAAGAUUGGAGAAAAUGAACAUGUUGAUUUUCAUUGCUUACAUGCUUGAUCCUAGGACAAAGUUUGAGUACUUUGAAUUCAUUGCUUGUAAAAUGUAUGGUGAUACCGAAGGUGCUGUUGUGGCUCAUGUAGCCAAGGAUGCAAUGUAUGAAUUGUUUAAUGAUUACAAGAGACUCAAUACUCCUGCUGGAUCUUCUCAAUCCUCUAUUUCUUCACUUUCUAGUGGAUCUGAAAAUAGCAUCUCUUCCUCUGAUGGAGAAGUCUCCAAAAAAAUAAAUGAUAGAUACAGAAUUGAGUUCAAGAAAAGAAAAGUUGAACUUGGAGGAAAGAAUGCUAAAUCUGAACUUGACAAAUAUUUGAGUGAGGAUUGUGAGGAUGAGGAUCCCGAGUUCGGUAUCUUGAAUUGGUGGAAAGGUAAUAGUCUUCGGUUGCCAAUACUUUCGCAAAUGGCUCGUGAUGUGUUGGCUGUCCCGGUCUCUACGGUUGCUUCCGAAUCUGCCUUUAGUACCGGAGGACGUGUUCUUGACCCAUUCAGAAGCUCUUUAACUCCAAGGAUUGUGCAAGCCUUGAUUUGUGCUCAAGACUGGUUUCGGGCAUCCGAAAAUGAGUUGAAUGUAGAAGAAAAAUUGGAGGAUCUUGAGGAAUUUGAAUCUGGUAAAUUAUCUUCGUUUUUAUUGACAAACUUGAAAUAUUUUUUCUAUUCAUAAAUGCAAUUAAGCUACUUCAUUAUUUUUUUCUUUCUUGAAUAAUAGGUUUGAUCAAAGGAGGUGCAGAAGCCACAAUUGUUGAUGUUUGAAUUCUCUAAUGGUGAUUCUGAUUUGGUGCUCAUAGAAAUUCAAGUUUGAAAUGUUGUCAAACUGAAAUGUUGUCUUAUUUGUUUGAAAGGCACUUUGGUUACAUUUGUAUAACAGUAUAAGUAUUCUCGUAUGAAAGACUGGAAUUGUUUGAUAAUAGUUGAUUUGUAUUAUUUACUGGAAUUGUUUUGUAUUUCAAAUUUGGACUGGAAUGGUUGUAUAAGUAUUCUCGUAUGAAGUGGUAGAGUUCUUGUGAUUUAUGGUAUUGAAUAGGCACUCUAGAAUGUGGAGUUGAAUGUGGAAUUGUUAUUCAGCUUCAUCCUUUCCUCUUGAAUUUGAGACAGCUGACCUGUGGAAUGUGGAAUCCAAGGGGACUGCAUUUACUUUGAACAGAUUUUCUGUUUUUGAUUUGUUAUUAUCCUUAUGACUGUUUCAUUGUGGGUCUUGAACGAAUUUCAUUUCAUUCCAAGUCACAAAAUUGAAACUUUAAUUAGAUUGAAGAACUUUUUUGGUAGAUGGUCUGUUGUUUCCUUGAUUUGUGGUUUAUAGUAUCUACAAAUGCUUUGAGUUGCUUUGUUCAAAGCAUAUCCUAAGCUUUAUUUGGCUUUUUGAUUGUUUGGCCUAUUUUUAAGUUGAUUAGUCGUGGAAUAUGUGCUGAAGGUGUUCUAUGACUUUAUUCUGGUUAACAACCUGUUUUGGUUUGGAGGAGGAACGGCUUUCAAAUCUCCUAUUAAAUAGAGGCGAAAUUAAGUUUCUUGCAAGAAAGGAGAGGGCAAAAAAAAAUAAUAAUAAUAAUAAUAAUUCGGUGAAUUCGGAAUUUACCGAAUUCCGAAUUCAAUUCGGUAUCGAAUUCGAAUUCGGAAUUCGCCAUUACGAAAUCGAAUUCGUUCGGUGAAAUUGAAGCCAAAUUUUUGAAAAAUUCCGAAUUCAAACUUCCGAAUUACCGAAUUCGAAUUCGAUGCACACCCCUACUUUUGAGGUUUUUUGCCGUGCAAAUAAUUACCCAAGUCCCUUAAUAAUUUUGUACUUUCUUUUCAAUCAUGUGCACCGAGCGUGCCAGUAGACACCCAAAAUUCCUGCCUAAAGGUAAAUGCCACCCACAUAGGUAUCAUUUCUGGGCAUUAAUGUGAUUUCUUUCAGUUUUUGGACUAAUCUUUGUGUUAAACAUUUUAUACAGUCAUCCUUAGUGAGCAAAGUGUGUAUAUCUUAAGCUCAAAAGCAUAAAGUGUUGCAUCUCAAUCCCAAGUUCAAGAGUGUAAAAUGUAGUUAGCCCUUAAAUUCAGUCAUCAUUCUCUUAGAAUCUUCUUGGUCAGCUUCUCAAAGCAUAAAGAAGCAGGGCCAAGAAUCAGAACAAAGAACACACGAGAUUUUUCUUUGCUAAAAUAUUUGAGAAGGUUGGGCCGUAGCUCAUAAAUCCUCAAUCAGAUAUGCUACAACUGCUUUCAAUUGAAGAUCAGAGGAGAAGUUUUACUUGUUCUUACGCCUAACUUCAGCAUUAAUACAGAUCUAGAGUCAUCACUAGAAGUAAGAAAUUCAAAGAAAUAUAACAAAACAUAUUAAUCCGAUAUUUACUACGGGCACUCGUUGACAUACUUAAAUUAAGAACAACUUAUUAUGUUAAUACACACAAUCACAAUUAAUGUACUCCUUGUAUUAUAUGCUUUUUCGUAUUAACUACAUUUUUUUAAAAGACUAACGCAGAAAACAACUCUAAAUGAGUGUCAAAUUGGGCACCCAUUAGCCAAAGUAGGUUAUGCCAAUUAAGUUAUACCAAAAUGCGAGCAACUUCAAGCCUUCAGUUAAUAAUGGGUGAAUGUGGAAAGGCUUCAUCAAACAUGAUUUUUUUUUUUUGAUAACAAGACAAUUUCAUUUUAAUAUUUGUACUAAUGGCAGCAAAUACAUCAAACAUGGCACAGAUUUAUAUAGAUCUGAAAAUCAAAUAAUAUAACAGAUUUAAAAAUAUAUAAAUUUGACCUUAACGUUGAAAUUCCAAGAAUAUCUUCCAUCAAAUAAAUGUCAGUACAAUUCAACGAAUCUAUAUCCAUGUCUUUCGAUAGCUGAAUAGUCAGAUCUGAUAAAAACUACUUCAAGUCUAAAGAAAAAUUUAGAUCUGACUUCUAGAUUUAAUUAGAGGAGAUUUGGAGAGAAGGAAGAGAAAAAUGAGUUCUAGAGUGAAAAGGAAAAGAGCUUUUGUAAUAUCCGCAUGAAUUAGUACCAUUCAAACCCAAAAUCUUAUGACCCAAAAUGAUGGCGUCUUCAAAAUUUUAGAAAUGGAUGGAGUGCUUGAUCUACUUCUUCAUUUGUGCAUAUAUGAUAUUUCUGCCCAUGGCGCCAGCCUAUAUAUGUCAAGUAAUUCCGUGCGGUGGCUGCUUGCGGUGCACAGGAGCGGUUAUCUGGAGAAGAUGAUAUGAGAAAAGAUGAUCAUACCCUGUGAUUUGGUGUUUUACUACAUAACCCUUCUAUAGUUUAAUAAUUUAUAUAUAAUCCCUUCAUAAUUUGGAUUAAAGUUUUGCCAUUAUUUUUUUCCGUUAAAACUAACAGUCAAUAGCAAAAAUCAAGGUCAAACUAAUAAAUAGACAAAUUCACCUUUUCACUACAUUUUUUUCCUUUCUUUCUUUUUCUCUUUUCUUUUCUUUCUUUCGCUCUCUUUUUUUUUGGAAGAGAAGAGAUGAUUUAAAAUCUGUACUUUGGCCUAUAAAAUCUUAAUUUUCUCCGGAUGCAAAAAAAAGAAGGGAAAUGAAAAAUAAAUAAAUAAGAAAUAGAAAAGAUGGAAGGAAAGUGAAAAAAUUAAAUUAAUAAGAAACCAAAAAUGGAAGGGAAAUAUAAAUCAAAUAAAUAAGAAACAAAAGAUACCAAAUCUUUAUUGAAUGCAAAUACCAUUAUAGGCUUUUAGACCAAAUCUUUUAUGGUAUUUUCUAUUUAUUAUUUAUCUAUUUUUACUUAAAUUUAUUUGGAGGAAAAAAAGGAAAGUAGUGAAAGAGUAAUUUUGUCAAUGUAUUAUUUUGAUUUUGAUUAUUUUACUACUGAUAGCUAGUUUAAUAGAAAAACUAACGGUGACGCGUUAAGUCAAAUCAUGAGAAUGUUAUAUAUAGGUAUAUUAAGUCAAGCCAUGAGGGCAAAAGGUAAUUUAUCCUAAUUAGUAUUUUGUUUGCUUAAAAUCUUUGAGAAUUUGGUCAAAGCCAAGAGACCACAAAGUGAUCAUUUCCAUACUAAGAAUAUGUGUACUGGAUGUCCACCUCAAUACUCAGACUCGGUCAUACAUCAUGUAAUUGGCCACGAAUUGGAUUCUUUUCUUUGCAUUUUAACAUGUGAAAAUUGUUCAAAUAUUCUCUCAUACUUUAGGAAGUCUUCUAAAGCAUCAAUGAUACUUGAAAGAAGGAAUUUAACAACUCAUACCUUAGAACGUACUCUUCUAUUAGCCUCCUACCCCAUUUAUAAUUAGUUUUCGCACUCAAUAUGUCUUGGUUAUGUUUCAUGUGCAAGAUUAAGUGUUGAAAAAAGUUUGAAGAGUUUGUUUAACCAAAGUACAAUGUGCUUUUCCCAGGGAAGUUGCAUGGCCUGUUACUGCAAAAUAAUUUCCCAGGUCAAUGCUGGGAUUCCCAUUUUUAUUUUAUUUUUUUGAAGUGGCUUGUUUGUGUUGUCAUCCUGCACUUGGUUUUGUGAAUUGGAUUUUCACUCUUGGCUAGCUUGUUCAAACUUCCAAGUUUCUUAAACACAAGUACCUCCCGGAAUAGAGAAAAUACCAAAUUGAGGGCCGACUUCUACUUUGUGUAUUAUCAGCUAUCAGGUUUGGUUAGGCAGAGCCAAAGAAGAAGGAAGAUUUACAGCAACUAGUAGGCAUUGUUCUGAAGUCGCGGAUUAAAAUGCAUACACAGAGUCAUGCCAGUAAAGAGAGAGCAUUGGCAAUCAAAUAUCAGAGGGUAAAUUACACACAAUCCCCUUGUAGUUUUGAAUAAUACCACAUUUCAAAAUAGUCAUGCAAAGCAAUAAGACGUUCAAUUCCACUAUAUAUAUGGCUAUAAGUGAUGUCCUGAAUCGAAAAAUGAUGGAGGAAACUGGACUGCGACGUGGAUUGAUGAGAAUCAAAUGCGUGAUAAUUGUUGAUUUCUUGCAAAAUCUUGUACAUUUGGUUACUUGAAACAGGACAUUGAUAAACAUCAAAUGAAAACGCGAAUCCAACAAACAAGGCUUGAUAAGCUGUGAUUAAAAAUGCCAUAUCAACUAGAGUUUACUGGCCCCCGCAUAAAUGGUCUAGCGGUAGCGCCUCUCACAGGUGACCCUUAAGGUCCCGAGUUCGAGUCUCCGCUCCGCUGGAUUCCUCCGCGCACUUAUCGCGUUCGGGUCGGGUUUGAUUCCUUUAUAUUGGGUCAUGGUUAUUUAAGGAGCAUGUAUGAUAGUUGUGUUUACUCCCGGAAGUUAAAUGAUGGUUCUUUCAUUUACUUAUUGUUAUAUGUUGAUGACAUGCUCAUUGCUGCCAAGAAUUUAUCAGAAAUUCACACUUUGAAACUUCAGUUAAAUAGUAAAUUUGAAAUGAAAGAUUUGGGAGUAGCUAAAAAAAUUCUUGGUAUGGAUAUUAAGCGAGAUCGAGGAGUAGGGAAAUUGUUCUUGACCCAGAAAAAUUAUCUUGAAAAAGUCUUGGAGCGUUUUGGCAUGAAAGAUGCUAAACCAGUAUCUACUCCUCUUGCUAGCCAUUUUCGACUAUCUGCUGCUCAAUCACCAAAAUCAGAUGAAGAGGAAGAUUAUAUGGCACGGGUUCCUUAUUCCAGUGUAGUCGGCAGUAUUAUGUAUGCAAUGGUUUGUACUCGUCCAGAUAUUGCACAAGCAGUCAGUGUUGUUAGCAGAUAUAUGUCUUGUCCCGGAAAAACACAUUGGCAGGCUGUGAAGUGGAUUCUCAGAUACUUGCGAGGUACUUCAAAUGCAUGUUUGGAGUUUGGAAGAAAUAAUAACACUUUGGUUGGUUUUGUAGACUCAGACUACGCUGGGGAUCUUGACAGGAGAAGAUCACUUUCAGGCUAUGUAUUUUGCAUUGGCGGUUGUGCUGUUAGUUGGAAAGCUACUCUACAACCUGUCGUAGCUUUGUCUACUACAGAAGCAGCAUAUAUGGCUGUGACCGAGGCAGUCAAAGAAGCCUUGUGGUUGAAGAGUUUAUUUAGCGAGCUUAGUCUACAUCAAGGUGUUACUGUUAUUCACUGUGAUAGUCAAAGUGCCAUACACUUGACUAAAGAUCAGAUGUAUCAUGAGAGGACGAAGCAUAUUGAUGUGAAAUAUCACUUCAUUCGGGAUAUCAUUGCUGAAGAAAGGUCCUUGUUCGGAAAAUCAAUACUAAGGACAAUCCUGCCGAUAUGUUUACGAAACCUCUUCCAGUUUACAAGUUCAAGCAGUGCUUGGACUUGGUUGGUGUUCGUUGUUUGUGAUUUAAGUCCAUUGGGGCUUAUGUGGAGAAGGUGGAGCAGUUUUUUGGUGGGACUUAAAAUUAUGCCAAGGUGGAGAUUUGUUGAGCCGCAAUUGUUGACGCCCACAAUGGUGGAAUUUGGUGGCAAAAUUUCCUCAUCCCACAUCGCCUAAAGUAGAAGGAAAGCCUCCCAAAUACAACUAUAAAUAGGGGGCUCAUAUGAAGGAAUUGAUUGCACCACUCAAGAGAGUUAUAUGGACUAUUAGCUUCUUGAGUCAUCUAGCCCAUUUAGUCAAAUAUUUUAGACUCUCUUGUAUUGUGUUUAGGAAUAUUUCCUAAACCUUUUAUAAGUGCCUUUUGGCCUAGGAACCACUUUCUUACGGCUUUUGUAUUUCUUCUUCAAAGUCGAAAUAUUGCUCCUUCUCUGCCCGUGGACGUAGGUCAAUUUGACCGAACCACGUAAAUCUUCUGUGUCUUUUAUUUGCUUUAUUAUUUGUCUUUAUUGGGUUGCCACAACUCUUUUAUAUGGCCGGUUUUACCGCCUAAUUAUUAUAUGGCUGGUGUCUACCGCCUAAUCUUUAUAUGGUCGGUUAUACCGCCUAAUUUGUGCUAACUUUAGUUUGUUUAUUCCUGGGCCAGUCCUAACAAUAAUUUCUUCUUGUUAAUUUGCAACCUAACCUUUUAACUUUUUGACUAUCUUUCCAUUUCAAAAAAAUUAGAGAUCCUUGAUAUUCGUAGUUGUCUUGACCUAUUCAAUUUCCUUCCUCCAUUUUAUAAUUAGUUUGCAUGCAUUUUAAUGGUGAUUUAUCCACAAUUUGUAUAGAAUACACCAAGGGCUGUCAAUCCGUCUUUGAGCUUGGGGUUGCUUGAUUAAUUUUAAAAAAAAAUCUUAGGUCGAAUGAACUUUAGCAAAGAAUAAUUUGAAGUAUGCAUUUGCAACCCCGUUAAAAAUUUACCUUAAUAACUUUUGCAAGGUCAUUGGAAACACACUUUGAAGGUACUUGACAUUACCCUAUUUUUAAAUAAAAUCAUUAGACAUUAGACAAUAUAGAGGCAAGAAUUAUUAAAGAUAGAUAUUUAAGAGCUACUUUGAAAACAUCAAAAAUACACUUUGAAGGUACUUGAGGAAAACCUUUUUUUUUAAAAAAAAAUAAAUCAUUAGCAUUAGAAAAUUAAGAUGCAAGAAUUAUUAAAAAUAGAAAUAUUAAAAAAUCUACCUCAUGUUUGUUUUAGGAUAAAUUUUGUGCACACAGACAGUGUAUAUAUAAGCGGGACUAAAUGCAUGCUACCUUUAUUGUGGAAGCAAUAAGUACAUCAACCAUUCUUUUUGUUCCUUGGAUACGUUUUGUAGUGGAAGACGUUGCUACUUGGAUCUGAGCCUCACAAUUUAUGUUUCGUAUGAUUUCGUACAAGUUGAUCUUUGAUGUAAAUUAGUCAAAUUUCGGUAUGAGUCAGGUCCAAUUUAAUAUAAAUCAGGUGCAGUUUAGUGUAUAUUAAUUUGAUGUUAUUUGGUGUAAAUUAGAUACAUUUGGAUAUAAGUUGAUUAUUAUCAUUUAGCAUAAGUUAAGGUCAAUUUAAUGUAAAUUGAGAGUAAAUUGUUAAAUUUUACACCAAUUUAUGCAUAAUGCAACUUGUGAGGCCCUAUUUCCUGCUUAGAAUUUUCACUUGAAGUCUUCAAUACUUGUCGUUGCUCGGCCUUUGAUGAGCGCGGGGUAUACAAAUAACAUUUAAUUUAUCCACAGUCAAGUUUUAUAUUUAUUAUAUUCUAAAUGCCCCGCACGUAAUUUUUCUGCAAGUAUACAGGUUGUGAGCAAGUACAGGGUAUUAAGGGCCGAACCCACAAGGAAAAUUUUUAAUUACCAUUGAUUUUCGAACUCCUUUAGUAUUUAGACUGUCAUAAGUGCAAGAAAUUGAAUCUACACUAUAAACAUGAAAUAAAAGUAAUAAAAAUACAUUAGAAAGCUUCUAGAGGAAUGGAAUUCCUUUCUACUCUUACAAAUGAAAUUACCAGUUAAGUGAAUGCUAUUAUCUUGGCUAGUUAUGGUGUAAUUUCUUAAUGUAUGUGAAACCUACUCUCUUAGUGAAUCAACUAUACUUGUAGAUAAGUCAUACAUACUUUCGUGGUUAUGAAAUCAACUACAAGGUCAUUUCUUCUACGAAAUUACAUGAACAAAACACUAAAGCCACAAAGGUGCACCUCUAUUCUCGUAAGUGUACUCCCUAGAUUUAUCACUAUAGCUUUCUUGAAUUAGUGUUAAAUUUCAAUUCUUAUUGCAAACUUAACACCUUAAAAUUUCACAAUUAAUGGCUAGUUAAUCAUGAUUAGAUAAGCAAAAGUAAUAAAUAACUUGCUCAAUAUAACAUCAUCAAAUAACCAAUUAAAUAUCACAAGUAAAAUAUAGAAAGUUCAUCCAUAACUCUAGGCAUAAACUUUAGAAACACAUAUAAAAACACAAAUCCAAACUUGUAUUAUAGAUAAACAUGAACUCAAAUACAAAAGAGAAUUCACUCUUGUCACAUGAGUUCCAACUCCCCAUUUUUGCUCCUCCAAUUUUCAUUUAAGUCUAACUACAAAUACAAGAAGGAAAAGCUAUACUAACUAUACUAUACUACUCUAACUAAUGAACUACGGAAAUUCUAGUGAAGACUACAUUUUUGUGGAGUUUCUCUAGCCUUCCAAAAUUAUGAAAAUGUUCCCCAAAGACUGCUGUUUAUAGAGAAUUCAAGCUCAAGGUGAGUUGUUUCUUGGUUGAUAAAGUUGGCUUUUGAACUCAACAAGAGUUAUUCUCCAAGUUUCCACACUCUUCUUGGUCAGAUAGAGCCAAAAUUCUGAGUUGUAGAUGAGUUGGAAAGGUUGUGUGAAUGCAAAACAAGUUGCAGAGCAAGUUGUAGCAGAAAAACUAGAAUACGUGACCUCAAAUACAUGAUCUUAGGUCGCGUAUUUCACCUCACAUUUUCUCCAUUACAGGUUUGCACUUUCUGGGCAAAAUUCAUCCUCACUCUAUUUUUGUACCAACUUCAACUGACAAUUUCUUGAUGAUGGAGGCUGAACUAGUUCUUGUGAAAAAUAUGAAAGUUGUAGCCCUUUGAGUUAGCUUUCCAAUGCAUCAAUAAUCAUCCAAUUUUCAGCUUUGUGGACUCAGAAAUGGACAAAAUACCCUCAACUGGUCAAUCCCCUGUUUCAACUUUCGACAAUGAAAUUUUGCUUCUGUAUUUCAACUUUUUGACAAUGAAAACGACUAAACUGGACUUCAAUGUCUUCAUAACAAAUGUAGGUCUAUCUUGUAGUUUCAAAAUGAUUCAAUAAUCAUCUCAAUCCAAUGAUUAUAGCUCAGGAUAUUGCCAAAAUACGAACAAAUGUCAAUGCUGUCAAACUUGCAUUUCUUCCAUUGAACAUUUUACACUUCAUGUUUUCUUUAAAUCACUUCAAAUCAUCAAUAAUCAUCCAAAUAUCUUCUCAAUAAAAACAUGAAAUUUUCAACAUUUAAACAUGUAGAAAUGCAAUUUUCACAAUUUAAACCAUAAAAUUCACAUUGUCACUAUUCAUUAGCUAUAAAAAUGACUAAACCAUACCAAGACCAAUUAAUAAAACACACUUAAAACACACAAAAUAUGCACUCAUCAGCCUUCAUUUGCUUUUGAUCCACAUGCGGGGAGCCUUGGGUUGCAUAAAAUAUGACAAUCAAGGAUUUAAAAUGCGACAAAAAUGGAAAAAAGAAAGGGAAAAUGGCAAUCAUAAAUUAGUACUAUUCAACUAAUGCCAAAUAUAAAAUUCUCUUAUAACCCAAAAUGUUUUAAAGGGUGACUUAGUAAUCUUAUUAUUAUUUCAUUUAAAAAGUUUGACUAUCUUCCUUUGACUGUUAAAUUUGAUGGAAAAUUUAAUACUUUCACUUUCGCAAUUUCCAUAAGGAGGGAAAAUGUAGGUUUCUAAUCCACAGGGAGUUAAUGUAAACAUUUGCUUAAUCACAAGGAGCUAUUUUAUAUUUAACCCUUUUUUUAAUCUAAUUUGUUAAUUCUUACGACAUAAGGAUAGAAUUGACUUCAUGUAAAUUAAUAGUUGCAUGACAAAUUUGGAUGCUAUUAAUUCCACAGAAGAUGCUUGGCAAUUUCACUGCGGUCUUUCGUAAUCGAUCCAAAGGCUUCUUACACAUUUGACAAAUUAGAGGGGGCCAAACCUGACCACUGUUGAAGUAAAAAAAACACACGAACGAAAUCAACCACACGAGGGAGCCCCACAUUUGUGAGACUGUGCGUGAGUAUGGGCCUUUGGUUUAACAUCUUGACGUGUUUGCAUUGUUUUACCUUGCUUUGAGAGCUGCUUCCUCGUUUUCUUUGAUAUCACUUGGGUAAACUGCUCGUGAAUUAGAGUCUGGUCGUGAUAUUCGUCUUUAUCACGUUGUGAAUCAUCCUUUCCCUCUCCAUUUUGGUUAUCAUUUGUACCUGAAUGAAGAAAAGGUUUUAGAUGAACGAGAGGAAUCUUCCCAUGUAAUUUCUCCCAUUGAAACUCUUCGAACACAUCUUUAAACUGUGGCACAUUUUCAAACCGGGACUUUUCCGUUUCUGUUCUUGUAAUUGUACCCACAAGGGGUGUGGCUCCAACUAAUACCACAUUAUGUGGAUCAUGACUUUUGGCUACCUUCCCAAGUGCAUCGUUUCCCACCUUAGAUGUAAUUUGCUUACGUUCCAUCGCCUUCUCUGUCGAUGCAGCCACUGUGAAGGUUCCAUUAGCUGGUGAAUGGCCAUCCUCAGCCUCCGACUCAGUGAAUUCCCCCUCAUCAAGUUGGUUCGUAGCUUGGGGCUGUACCGACCGCAUCUCUUCUGUUUCCCGAACCACCUGAUCAGCCAACUUAUGAAUGAUUUCACCUGCGGUAGAAACAAUGGUCUCCUCUACUAACGCAGCGACAGCCAACCCAGGCUGCUGGGGUUGGGUCAAGACGACAGUCCCUGCCGAUGGAUGCUCAACCCGCAACUCGCCCUCUUCCAGCGCGCUUUCCAGAGCUUCCUCUAAGGCAUUGCCCCCAGGUCGCUGCACCUCCGGAGUCAGAGUAGGAGCCCCAGGCCUCUCCGUGGGAGUCACCGCAUCUCCCAAAGUUAUCUUGUCCAACUCCUCAUUGCCGUUUGUCUCCUCGAUAGCUGCUGUCGUACCCUCGCCAACCGCAUCUGGUUGCUGAAGGAGACGCUGUGGACCUGCUGUCACCGCCAUCCUUCCCAUUUCUGAAAUCACCCGUGGAACAUAUCUCCGCCGCUGCUGCUGGCCAUUAGCCACUGGCCGCAGAGAUGGGUCCUUCCGAAAGCACGAACCAACCCCGUGGCCAAACAUACUACAAUAGGAGCAGUACUCAGGCAAUCCCUCCAACUCCACCGGCUGCCAAAACCCAUAGUUAUCGUCACCUAUCCAGACCCGCUGCACUGGCGGCGCCGAGAUGCAGAGCUCCACCAGUACCCGCGCUACCGAGGGGCGCCUAAGGUCACUGGUAGCAGCGUCUACUCGCAACGGCCUCCCCAAUGUUGCAGCAAGCCGCAGCAGUUGUUGUUUUUGAAAAAAGGGUAGGGGCAACUCAGGAAAGGCCACCCACACCGGAGCAAUUGCCAACUCCUGAUUUGCUUUGAACUCCAAAGACCAUUUGGAUAUUGACAUCGGAGAACUGCGUACGUACCACACCCUCCUUGCGAAAAGCCUGGUGUAAUCUUCCUCCAACGCCGGCCGAAGCAGCACAUGUUUUUGAUCCAGCAAUCCCACCGCACACUCCCCUUUAAGGCCUAGAGAUGUGAUGAACUUUCUGAUGAGUUCCAUUGAAGGCCUGGUGAACGCAAACCUCCCAACAAGAGCAUUCUGGAAAGGUUCGGCAAGCUUGGCGAUGUCCUGUUUGGAGAGGCGGAGAGCAGGUUCUCCCCUGAAGGUGGAGACCUCCCCCAACGCACCUGAGGCUGCAACCGCAGCCCUACCUGAGACAACCGCCGCAAACGACCUGCCCUGCGGCGGCCCUCCCUCUGGAGACGACUCCGACGACCCGUUGGCCGCCAUGCACUAGUUAGGAUAAACCCUAGCUGCCUGCUGAGAUCCGAGAUUUCCGCUCAUUCUUGUUAAUUGCUCUUUUCACCCAUUGGCUAGAAGAUCCCCUUUUUGCUAGUUUAGUAACUUUUAUGGCCACUAAAGAAUUUUAAUUCUCAAAGGCUUCUUGAAAUAGUGGAAUGACCCAAGAGGGGAAAUGACAAUCAUAGUUGGUGACAUUGGCAACAUCAAUCAUGCCAUCUGUUAAUCCAGACAUAAAUUAUAAAAAAAUGAUUUGGUCUUACUAACUAUCCUCGAGAAUUAGACUGACAGCGUAAUUAUUAGGGCAAUUUACAUCUCUUAUGGUUUGCUGUUUUACCGCAUAACCAUUUUGUAGUUUAAAAACCUAUAAUUAGUUUUGACACUCUUCUAUUAGCCUCCUAUCCCAUUUAUAAUUAGUUUCCACACUCAAUAUGUCUUGGUUAUGUUUUAUGUACAAGAUUUAAGUGUUGAAAAAUUUGAAGAGUUUGUUUAACUAAAGUAUAAUAUGCUUAUCCCAGGGAAGUUACUUGUCUUUUCACUGGAAAAAAUUUCCCAGGUUCAUGCUCGGAUUCUUCUUCUUCUUCUUCUUCCUUCUUCUUCCUUCUUCUUCUUCUUUUUCUUUUAAUCGCUUGUUUGUGUUGUCAUCUCCAUUACUUAAAACAUAUAUUAUUUGUUUUGAAGGGACCAAAAUCCUGCCCUUGGUUUUGUGAAAAAGAGACCUCCUCCACAGUUUUCCGUGUGCAUUGGAUUUUGACUCUUGGCUAGCUUGUUCAAACUUCCAAGUUUCUUAAACACAAGUACCUCCAAGAAUAGAGAAAAUACCAAAUUGAGGGUCGACUUCUACUUUGUAUAUUAUCGGGCAAAUUACAUUUUAUCUCUCUGUGAUUUAGCAUUUUUUUACAUAACCGUCCUAUGAUUUCAAAAGCUAUACAUAACCCCCUCAUGGUUUGGAUUAAAGUGUCAAAGUGAAGGAAAUAGUCACUCGUAAUGGAACUUCUAAAAAUAUCGAAAUUACCCUUAUAAAUACAUGACACAUUAAUCCCGUAUGAUUUUUACAUUUUACCAUAUAACCCCCUUAUGGUUUAAUAUUUUAUCAUAUAACCCCCUUAUGAUUUUCAAAAUAUGCACAUAACGCCCCUUGGUUAAUAAAUAAUUUUUAACUUUACAUAAGGGUAUUUUUGACAUUUUAGGUGAUUGAACAGUACAUCUUCCUUGGCUACCUCAAAAAUAUCUUCAGGAUGACUAGAUUUCUUUUGUUUUGUGCAUAAUAUAUUAGAUAUCAAAGUGGUUAAAAGUCACAAUCGUGCAGUGUAAGAAGAGAAGCAUAUCUAAAAUUACCAGAAUUUUUGAACCAAAACAUGAAAGUGAUGACCAACAGCUGCGAAUACUCCUUGAUUGACCAUAGUCUUCGUGGCUAGAAAAACAAAACCAAGGAAAAGUGACUCAGAAAACCAUCAUAUAUGACUCUGAUAGAGCAGUUACUAAUCAAAUGGUUCAGAUAAGCAUGUAAGCUCAUUAUCAAGAGCUAAAAGUUCAGAGAAACCAUUCUUUCCCUUAGAAUCACAAGUUCAAAUAGAGUGAGCUGACUUUAGCAACAAUAACUUACAAUCCACAGAAGCAGACAUGUAAAAUCAACAAAACUAGACCGCUGGUUGUUUUAAACGUUGAUGCGCUAUUUGUAGGAAAUGCAGGCCAAAAGUUAUUGAGUUCCAGCCAUAUAGAUUGUGCUGAAGAAGCUUCAAAACUCUAACCUCUGUUUGUCUAAGCAAGAGACCACAAAAAUCAGCUUGGAAAGUAUUGAAGACAGGAGUGUGGUCAGAAUUGCUAAUUUAAAGACAGAGAGAAAAAAUUCCACGAAUUUUCUGCAUACGCUAUGGAAUAUAAAACGCAAUUGCAUUUUCCACAGGUGAAAGUUCAGAGAACUCAUUUCAUCCUGAUGCAAAUCACGAGUUUUAAGAGAGAGCUAAUCUUAGAAAUCAUAAUGUACAACAGGUUGGCUGACAUGCAUGAUAAACAAAGUAAAGUCAAAUCUUAAUUUCUUUUAUAUUGUUACUUCAUUAGUUGCUUUGUUUCACUUCUCUUUUAUGCAAAACUUGCUUUGGUUAUCCAAGAAAUCUUGUGCAUUUGGUUAUUAACUACGGAAACAAGAUAUUAACUCAAGCUUCCAAUGAAGACAUGUAACUGUCGCCUAUCGAUGGUAAUGUUUAUGAAGUACCUAUGACUUUCAAUCACGAUACCGAAACCUAAGAAAGACACCAAACAAAAUUGAAAAGAACUACUUCAUGCAAUUCUUCAUUUUUGGUUAAGCGACUACUAACAUAAGAUGUAGUACUCAACAUCAUAUAGACCAGGUAAUAUUGGAAUAACAACAAAUCUUUAAGUAACAGAAUCAUUCUAGACAUGCCAUUUUUAACUGGAGAAUGAGAACAUGAAAACUCAGAAAAUCAUGUUGCAUGUAAUGGUGCAAAGAUACAGCUUCAAGAAAGGUGGCAAGCUACUUGUGGAGGAUAAUAGGCAGUCACAAGGCAGACCAAUAUUUUUCUGCAACUAAGUUGCAGCUAACUUGAGAGACAAGCAGUCUGAGACAGAAAAACAAAUUGAGGUCCAUAACCAGUGAAUUACUACCUCAUGUCAUAAGCACAAAAGCUACAGCUGAUUUACAGUUUGAAUCACCACAUUCACAAUGUAGAUCUCAAGCUUUGGCAUUGUUUUCUAACAUAAACUGGUACACAGAGGUGAAAUCUGUCUGCUCAGUCUGCAGAUAAAAGCAGUGUCACGAGAACUAUCCUAGUUUGUGUCCGAAUGAUACGUUCCUCGAUCCACGGUCGAGACACGUAGCACGUUUGCCCAAGGAUCUAGCGGGGAUGUCCAACGCUUGGAUUGCGGAACCCUUACUCAAACGGACAACUCGAUUUGAUUGGAGGUGGUAGACGACACUCCAAUGAAGGUGAAUACUCCAGGGGAAUAGGUCGGACGAACAAUCAAGGACAGGACGCGAGAUUGCUCAAUAACCCUUGCCAAGCAAGUUGAAAGGCACGAAUUCUUUAUGAAAGAAAACGAAUGCACUAAUAAUUUUAAUUCAUCAAAAACUAGUUUUUAACCUUACAAGGCUAGCCUAUUUAUAGGCUUAAUGAAACAACUAAAAACCCUAAAGAAACCUAAAGGGGAGGUCGGCUACCUUGUCAUCAAGGUGGGCCGGCCUCAAGCCUUCUACGGACAAUUAGUCCAAACAAAAUGGAAACAACGACUAAGGCCCUACUCGGCCGAUUCGUAAGGAGGCCCACUAGAGUCUUCCUGGGCUUGGACCAAAGUGCAAGUUGCUUGAUUGAUCCUUUCCAAGCCUUCAAUAUCUCUAUAGCCUCCAUGUUGAUCGUGGACAACUUGAACAAGGGCUUGGAGGGAUUCCUUGAAUAGCUUGGCCCGUGCACGUGUGACUGGGCCUAAUGGGACUUGGACUGGGCCCUGGUUCAUGCACACAUCAGUCCCCUCCUCUUGUGAAGGAUUUGCCCUCAAACUGGAUCCUCCUCACCAAGAAACGGGCUCAAGUCUGCGACAUUGAAGGUCGCGCUAACAUUGUACUCCCCAGGUAGCUCCAAUUUGUAGGCGUUGUCAUUAACCCGGUGGAGCACACGAAAAGGUCCAUCCCCUCUGGGGGAUAAUUUGCUUUGUCGCUGCUUGGGGAACCUCUCUUUGCGUAAGUGUAACCAAACCCAAUCACCAGGCUCGAAGAUCAUUUUGCGGCGGUGCUUGUUAGCCUGCUGGGUGUAUUGCUGAGUACGCCUUUCAAUGUUUGCUCGAACAGCUUCAUGUAACCUGCGCACAAAAUCGGCCUUCUUUUUCCCAUCUAAGCUUGUGUGCUCAGAGGAAGGUAAGGGUACUAAAUCAAGAGGGGUUAGCGGGUUAAAACCAUAAACAAUCUCAAAAGAUGAGUAGUGUGUAGCACUAUGAACAACUCGAUUGUAGGCGAAUUCAACAUGAGGCAAACACUCUUCCCAAGUCUUAAGAUUCUUUUUAAUCAAUGCCCGAAGUAGUGUGCCAAGUGUGCGAUUGACAACUUCAGUUUGUCCAUCGCUUUGUGGAUGACUAGUGGUGGAAAAUAGUAACCGGGUGCCAAGUUUAGACCACAGAGUCUUCCAAAAAUAACUCAGAAAUUUCACAUCCCUAUCACUAACAAUGGUCCUAGGCAUACCAUGCAGACGGACAAUUUCUUUGAAGAAUAGAGUAGCAAUAUGAGAGGCAUCGUCAGUUUUGUGACAUGGAACAAAAUGAGCCAUCUUAGAAAACCUAUCAACCACCACAAAGAUGGAGUCAUUACCUCUUGGUGAUCUAGGCAAACCUAGAAUAAAGUCCAUAGACAAGUCAACCCAGGGAUGGUGAGGGAUAGGUAAUGGGGUAUACAAGCCAUAUGGAUUUGUUUUGGACUUUGCCUUGUGGCAAGUAGCACACCUACCAACCAUGCGGUCAACAUCCCUACGCAUAUGGGGCCAGUAAAAGUGCUCUUGCAACAUAGCCAGUGUCUUGGCAAUGCCGAAGUGGCCCAUGAGACCACCACAAUGUGCCUCUCGAAUCAAAAGAUCACGAAUGGAAGAGUUAGGCACACACAGUUUAUCUACAUGGAAUAGAAAUCCAUCAUGCAAAAAGUACUUUCCAUGCGGAUUCUUAACACACACGGCAUAGAUAUCACCAAAGUUAUGAUCAUUAGUGUAGAGGUCCUUUAUCAUUUCGAACCCAAGCAAUUUGGCAUCAAGAUAGGCAAGCAAGGAGUGUCUACGUGACAAGGCAUCAGCUACCACAUUUGUCUUGCCAGUUUUGUACUUAAUCACAUAAGAAAAGGUGUCAAUGAAGCUUACCCAUUUGGCAUGUCUCUUGCUUAAUUUAGGUUGCCCUUUGAGGUACUUCAAUGACUCGUGAUCAGUGUGUAUCACGAACUCUCGAGGGCGAAGAUAAUGUUGCCAGGUCUCCAAGGCCCUCACUAAGGCGUACAACUCCUUGUCGUACGUGGGGUAGUUCAAUGCAGCUCCUCCCAACUUUUCGCUAAAGAAGGCACACGGCCUCUUGUCUUGCAUUAGGACUGCGCCAAUACCUACACCAGAAGCAUCACAUUCAAUUUCAAAGGUAUUGUUAAAGUUUGGUAAUGCUAACACAGGGGCAUGCGUUAGUGUGUCCUUGAGGGCGAGAAAUGCUUGGUCUUGUGAUUCUCCCCAAAGGAACUUGUCAUGCUUCUUUGUCACGGCGGUCAACGGGGCGGCAAUAGUGCUAAAAUUCUUGACAAAUCGCCGGUAAAAGCCCGCCAAUCCAAGAAAGCUGCGCACGUCAGGGACGGAUGUGGGGGUUGGCCAUUGCUCGAUGGCGUCAAUCUUGGAUUUGUCCACCUUGAUGCCCUGUGAACUUACUACAUAGCCUAAAAACACAAGCUCGUUAGUACAAAAGGUGCACUUCUUGAGGUUGGCGUACAGACGCGCCUGUCGAAGUGUCUCAAGAACUAAUCUCACAUGCUCUAGAUGCUCAUGCUCACUACGGCUAUAGAUCAGGAUGUCAUCAAAGUAAACAAUGACAAACUUGCCAAUGAAAUGUCUCAACACAUGGUUCAUUAGUCGCAUGAAGGUGCUAGGGGCAUUAGUUAAGCCAAACGGCAUGACUAACCACUCAUAGAGACCAUGUUUGGUUUUGAAGGCCGUUUUCCACUCGUCGCCUUCUUUCAUCCGAAUCUGAUGAUAGCCACUCCUCAAGUCAAUUUUGGUGAAAAUAAUGGCACCAUCGAGUUCAUCAAGCAUAUCAUCAAGUCUAGGAAUGGGAUGACGAUAUUUGAUGGUGAUAGCGUUCACAGCCCGACAGUCAGUGCACAUACGCCAAGUACCGUCCUUUUUGGGCACAAGUAUCACUGGCACAGCACAAGGACUUAGACUUUCCUUUACCCAACCUUUACCUAAGAGGCCAUCAACUUGCCUUUGCAGCUCCUUGGUCUCUUCAGGACCCAUGCGGUAGGCAGGUUUGUUGGGUAGUGGUGCCCCAGGAAUGAGGUCGAUUUGGUGCUCAAUCCCUCGAAUAGGUGGUAAGCCAUCAGGGACUUCGUCGGGGAAAACAUCCUCAAAUUCCUGCAAAAGAACAACCAUACUCGCAGGCAAUGCCUUAUCGAGUUCAGCAACAUCUAAAAGCACAUGUUUGCAAAUCAUGAGAAGGACGGGCUGAUCAGAAUUGACAACUUUCCUAACGUCCUUGGCCUUAAUGAUCAUGUUUUGCUUCCUAGUGGUAGGUGGCGUAAGUGAUUUCUCACGCGUCACACUAGGUGUGCUUCCUUGAUCCUUGGUCAAUGACUCACUUGCAGGGGUGGAGCCGUUGCCAGGGUCGACCGCCUUUUGUCUCCUUCUUUGACGGUCUUGUUCACACUCUCUUUGUAGCUUAAGUUGGUCCUCAUAUACUUGUGCAGGUGUAAGUGGUGUGAGAACCUUGCGUUUGCCAUCAUGCAAGAGAGUGUACUUGUUGGCCCUUCCGUCGAACGUGACGUGUUUGUCAAAUUGCCAUGGUCGACCCAAGAUAACAUGGGUGGCAUGCAUAGGUACCACGUCACAAACAACUUCAUCGGUGUAAGUUCCAAUGGAAAAAGGGAUGCGUACCCGUUUGAAGACACGUACCUCUCCUUCCUCGCUUAACCAUUGGAGGCGAUAAGGGUGUGGAUGUCUAGUGGUUGGAAGUCCUAAGCUCUCAACCAUGAGUAAGCUUGCCACGUUUGUGCAACUCCCACCGUCGAUGAUGAGACUACACACCUUGUCACCUACUUUGCAACGAGUGUAAAACAGGUUUUCCCGUUGUAAUUGCUCAUCCUCCUUAACUCGGGCUGUUAGCACUCGUCGUGCCACCAAACACCCGACGUCCCCUUGUAUAGGCGAGCAAUCUUCCUCAGUAAAGUCGUCAUCCAGGCCGUCGCCUUUGGUCAACUCGGGUAGCUCCUCACAGUCGUCGUCAUCGGACACAAUCUCGCCAUUGUGAGUGAUUAGCAUGACCCGUUGGUUUGGACAUUGAGAUUGAAUAUGCCCAAACCCUUGGCACUUAAAACAUUUGAUGUCCCUGCUCCUUGCCUUAGGAGUCUCUUGUGGUGCCUUAGAAGUAGACCUGGAUACAUCGGGACCCUUGUUAGGUGUAGAAUAGGCAUUACGAUUAGAGGUGUUACCUUGGAUGCGGUUAGAAGAGGUUGGUAUCGCCGCGUUUCCAACUUCGUGGGUCGCCCUUCGUGGUUGGUUGCCCCUCCAUGAAGUGGUGUUAGAAGAUUGGAAAGGACGUGCUCCUCGUCUGAGCUUCUUUCCCCGCUCGGCCUUGAUAGCGAGUUCUAGAAGGUCGUGCAUGUCCAGGUAAUGUUGGAGCUCCAAGGCUUCUUGAAGGUCGGGAUUGAGACCUCGAAGAAACCUAGCCAUUGUGGCUUCAUUGUCCUCUUGAAUGUUGGCCCUCAUCAUGGCCAUCUCGAUCUCUUUGUAGUAGUCUUCCACACUCAUGUUGCCUUGAGCGAGGGUUUGAAGUUUAGAAUGGAGAUCGCGAUUGUAGUAGCUAGGAACGAAUCGUUUGCGCAUUAGUGCCUUGAGUUCGCGCCAAGUCCGGACACGUGGUUCGCCCAUCCUUCUCCUAUGGGUCCGUACUUGGUCCCACCAGACUAGUGCGUAGUCGGUGAACUCCACGGUGGCAACUUUAACCUUUUGUUCCUCGGUGUAAUCGUAGCAGUCGAAGACCAUCUCGAUACGGCCCUCCCACUCCAAGUAAGCCUCAGGGUCACUUUUGCCUUUGAAUGCGGGGACUUGAAUUUUAAGCCCCUUGAGUUCGUUCGUAGGCGUGUCCCGUCGCGGCCUCUCGGGUCGCUCGUCGUCGUCACUGGCGGAGUAGUCCUCACUGGGUGCUCCUUUGCGGUCACGACCACUCCGAUUGCGUGAUCCAGAACGGGAGCCUGGGGUGAGACUCUUGGUGAGCUCGUCAAACCGGUUGUGCAACUCUUCCAUUUGUUGCUCACUAAUGCGUUUGAGCUCAUGUCUCAUGGCGGUGAACAUCAGAGAAAGGUCUUUGGAAGGUGGUUGUUGAUCUUGCUCCAUGUGUCUCGUGAUGCCCCCCCCUGCAAAGGUUAGUAACAAGCAAAGAAAGUGCAAAUAUAAUCCUCACUUCACUCCCUAAGUGUAUCUCUCGCGCUCGUGUGUAGUGCUCAAGUCACUCUAUAAAACUUACCAGGUACCUUUACCUGUUGGUUUAGGUAGUUGAGUAAUGUUGCUCGAGCCCGAUUAGCGUCACCAACUUGUCCCCCACAAGAGUAAGCAAGAGAUUUGUUUUGAUGAAGGGAAGGACGGUUUUGGAAAGCUUAAAGGUGGUGGACAGAUUUGGAAAAUAUUACCAAUAAAGGAAACUCUAAGAAUGCCUAAGAUGUAGGAGUAGUUUCCUAAAGUGAAUGAGGAAAUGUAGGAGAAUAUCCCAAAAAUGGAGGAGAAAAAGUAGGAAGGUGUCCAAGUUUUAUCCAAGUGUUGUACUUAGUCUCCUAAACUAAGUUGGCAAACAAGUUGGAGUUGAAAACUUCCUUUGAAAACCUUGCUUAAGCAACUUCCUAAUUCUUCUCAAAACAGAUUCGGUUCCCUCUCUCUCCUCUUGACCGUAAUUUUCCAGAAAUCUUCCCUUUAUUCCCUUCCCAAAGUCGGCUAGAAGACCCUUAUAAACCCUCUCAAGCAGCCGCCCACUAUGCUCACAACAAAAACCAGAAUUGGGCCACCGAAAUUUCCAGAUUUCUUCCUUCUUGAACCCCUCCCAAGGUCGGUUAUUGUUCCCUAUUAACCUCCCCUCACAGCCGCACACUUCACCCAAGAAGUUCGGCUCUCUCUCUACUCUCAAGUCACAACCAGUUCGGCUCCUUCCUUCGUGCCAAGAGUAAGACAGUUUCGGUUGUUGUGCCAAGUCAAUGGCGUCUCAAGACAGCGUGAACCAAGUCUCUCAAGGUUCUUUCCCACGGGUUGCUCAAGAAACUCCCAAGGAUUUUAUUCCUAAACCAAGGAAACCCCGUAUGGAUGCAAGAACUUACAAGAAACUCUUUAUUCGAAGAGAAGUGCAAGUCUUCAAAACUCUUGAUGGUCAAGAACCUCAAGAAUCCCAAAAGGUAGUGCAAGUAAUCAAAGUUCAAGGUGUUCAAGAAUUUCAAGAAGAGGUUGGUCAAAACUUUUGAAUUUUUUUUUUCUUCUACUUGCUGUAAUUUUCUGGUUUGGGUACAAGAUGCAAUAAGACAGAUUUGGCAAUAAAAAGUGCGAUUUUCCUUCUUGGUUUUCUUGCUACCCGAUGGCUCUUCUUGUUUCUUUUUCGGUUCUUUUUUUUUUUUUUUAUACUUGGUAAUAGACUACACCUGGCCGAAAGGGUUUCAAACCAGAUUCUGAUCAAGUCCUAAUUUACUACAACCAACAGCCCCAAAACUCCAAGUUUUUUAUCAAGAACUUCCAAGAACUUCAAGAUUAAGUUCAAGAAAGUCAAGAAUCCUAAAACUCACGUAGAUUUCCUUCAAGAUUCACAACUCCAACAAGUUUGGUCCACAAAUCAGUUUAGGAAACUAACUAAACAACUUAGAUAAGCGACUAACACUUGGACAGAUUUGGCAAUCACAAAAACUCUAGCCGCACCAAAACCCUAGCCGCGGUUUUUUUCUUUCUUCUUUUUUUUUGUGUUUUUUUUUUUCAGUUUCGGCUAGGACCAAUUGCUGGGCAGAAUGGUUGUAAUACGAGGAUAAAAUCUGGGCAGAUUGGACUAGCAACAAAAACACACAACUGUCCAGAAAUUUACGCGACCAAGAACAAGAAUUAGCGAACAGAUUUUUUUUUUGACUCACAACGGACAGAAAUUUCUAUUUUGUUGGUUGUCUCCUUUUUUUUUUUUUUGAUGAAUGCGGACACCAAUGGACAGAAAGGAAAGACUCACGGCAAGGCACAAGACAAGACACGGACAGAAUGUUUUUUUUUUUGACAAGCGAUGCAAACAGAUUUUGUUUGUUUUUUUUUUGACUAGCAAAGCAGCAACGGACAGACUUGAAGACACAAACGAACGGGUAUGGAUACGAACUCAAUCAAUAAAACAACGACCAGAAUUUCUAGAUAACAAACGAAGGAAAACGGCACAACGAAGCAACAAAGCAAACGAACAGUUUUUUUUUUUUUUUUUUCAAAACACAAGGCAGCGGAAAUAAUGAAACUAAGACACAACUAUGGAUAUAACGGAAGAUACCUCCACCAAAGCUCUGAAGCCAACUGAUACGUUCUUCGAUCCACGGUCGAGACACGUAGCACGUUUGCCCAAGGAUCUAGCGGGGAUGUCCAACGCUUGGAUUGCGGAACCCUUACUCAAACGGACAACUCGAUUUGAUUGGAGGUGGUAGACGACACUCCAAUGAAGGUGAAUACUCCAGGGGAAUAGGUCGGACGAACAAUCAAGGACAGGACGCGAGAUUGCUCAAUAACCCUUGCCAAGCAAGUUGAAAGGCACGAAUUCUUUAUGAAAGAAAACGAAUGCACUAAUAAUUUUAAUUCAUCAAAAACUAGUUUUUAACCUUACAAGGCUAGCCUAUUUAUAGGCUUAAUGAAACAACUAAAAACCCUAAAGAAACCUAAAGGGGAGGUCGGCUACCUUGUCAUCAAGGUGGGCCGGCCUCAAGCCUUCUACGGACAAUUAGUCCAAACAAAAUGGAAACAACGACUAAGGCCCUACUCGGCCGAUUCGUAAGGAGGCCCACUGGAGUCUUCCUGGGCUUGGACCAAAGUGCAAGUUGCUUGAUUGAUCCUUUCCAAGCCUUCAAUAUCUCUAUAGCCUCCAUGUUGAUCGUGGACAACUUGAACAAGGGCUUGGAGGGAUUCCUUGAAUAGCUUGGCCCGUGCACGUGUGACUGGGCCUAAUGGGACUUGGACUGGGCCCUGGUUCAUGCACACAUCACCGAAACUCUGAAAGAUGACCAGUUGAGUAAUUUAGAAAAAGAGAUGCGGCAGCCAACAAGUAUGACAGGCAGAGAAAGCUAAAGAAUCUUCAUGAAGUGAAUUCCUAGAACAGCAACCAAUUAUUACCAUUUGAUGCUUCAAAGUUCAAAUCAUCACAGUUAGACUUAAACUUCAGUAAAGGAUAAUCUGCCAAGUCUUUGCAGCUUCAUUGCUAGAACAAUACUAUUUUCCCUUGCAACCUCAAAAAAUGACUUGAACAUGUCCUUUUUUUUUUGAAAGGGGGGAGGGGGCGAGGGGUUAGUUAACAAAUUGAGAAUCAAACUGCUUAAAACUCAAUAUUACAUAGUUGAAGAAGAAAGUUUAUCAUGGAUUAGGAGCAUUUCUUAAAAAAAAAAAAUUGGUAUUGUAGAUUACCAGUCCAUUUGGCAUGAUGAUAAGAAUAAGAUAAUAACAUUUUCUAGAGGUGAAAGUUCAGAGUAACCAUUUUUUCCUCAUAGAAUCUCAGGUUUAGGAAUCAAUGUACAGCUUGCAGUAGCAGACAUAUGUGAUGAGCAAAUAUAAACUGCUACUCUUUAUUGAAAGAUAGCGCAGGCAUAAAUCUGAGGGCAAAUGGUCUUUAACUAUCAUAUUAUGUUUGACUGUCCGCAACAAAUAAUUUGUUUGUAAAUAUCUGCAUUCUAUGAUUGAGGAAGGAAAGGAUAGAAGUGAAGUGGGACUAUUUGCCAGAAGCAAAAUACAAAAUGCUCAUCAAAUGGAUCCUUUACAUUUGGACAAGGCACCUAAACCACAAUUAUACCAAAAAGGAUAGAUUGGAUGAUGAGGUCAGUCUCUCAAGGAGUGCUAUGUGUGAGCCGUGAUGCGUAUUCUGUGUGUGUGAGUGUGCAGUUUGUGUGUCGAGAUGCUAUAGUAAGUGAUAGUGUUUACUUUGAUGACUGCAGUUGAACCUUUUCAGACCGCCUAAGACAAGAGAAGUUCAUCAAAGCAGACCUCUGCCUUCAACAAAGUGAAGUUGAGCAGUUACAUCAUUUCCAAGACUGGCAAUUUACUUCCAUGAUUAAAAUAGCUUACAAGAUAGUACAAUCAACAAUUGAGAUCUCUAAUUCCAAUCUAUUAUCAAUUUGAACGUGCACAGCAGAAUCCUCUCAAAUCCUUGCUAUUACAUGGCCAAACAACAUUCCUGGAAGCAGACCCUCGAAAACUUUCAAACUCUUGUUACUAAUCAUUUUAGUCACAAUACAUAUAUCACCUCACCUCAGGCAAUAAAUAAAAAUCUUCUUAAGAGUUUCACUGGAGUAUGUUCUCCUACAGAAAAAAAAAAGGAGAAAAAAUCCUAUAAGUUAAAUAGUUUGAAAUCUUUCUGUGUUAGAAAAUCCACAAAUUUCUGUGCUGGGACGUACUUUCAUUUGACACUUUAUUCCAUGAAUGCAAAACAAUAAGUAAAUAAACUUUUCACACUAAAUGGUGGCAUGUGUACCUGAGUUGGAUGAACUCAGAUUUAAAAAUCUGAAGAAAGCAUGCUGCCUGCAUUAUAAAUAAGAUAGAACAAAAAGUUCCAUUACGUUUUCGAGUUGGAAACCUUAUGGAAAGUAAGAGUUUCUUUUUGUCAGUUUUCUCCCUAAAAAUAAUGAGCAGGCAAUAAGACUUGAUACUAUGUACAAAUAUUUAUUUGGUUAAAAUAAAUGUGCUAACCUGAGUGUUAUUCUUGAAAGUUGGCAAAACCUCUGAUUGUUAACGUGUAACUCUAGUACGACCCAAUAAGAUGCCAAUAAUGAUCAUCAGAAGGUCAUGGUAAUGAUGGUUUCAUAAAAGACUUCAGAUAAGUUGGGGCAAGAAAUUUUUGGCCAGCAGCUCGUACAGGCCAGUUGCAGUCAUUGAGCAAUCAAAAUCCAGGCCUGCAACUUGUGCAAUUUAGUGUCAGUUAGUUUCAAAGACAAGAAGCCUGGAAAAAAUAAGCAAAUGCAUAGUAUUAUAGCAUGUCAGUUCGUACUACUGCACCUCAUGACUAAAAAGGCACAUUGAAAGUGUGCAAGCUCCCAAGAUCAGUACAUCAGGUUUUGGCCAUCUGAGGCACCAAAGUGAAAGAAAAGAGUGCCAACAUAAACAUUUCAGCCCAACUGAAACAGGAUCUGGUUCAACAUGAUUCUCAAAUAUGCAGGCUCUGUAAUUAGUAAUUACCAGCCAUUAUAGAUUUCCAGUUGAGCUUUGAACCUAAGGUCACGGGAAGACAGAAAAUUUGAACUCAGAUAGUAUGUAGUGCGAGAUAUUUCAAAUAGUUUAGUCAAUCCAAUGAAAAGCCAAAAGCUGUGUCUUGUUGGAUUUUAAGCUAAAUAAAUAAGCAGUCGCGUUUACAAGUUGCCCUACUCUUAGUCCAUUCUUGUUCCAAGCAAGAAGCAAAUCAUUAAAACUCAUAACCUGAAGAAACGGUGGGCAAUUUGUAGCACAAUCAUAGCAAAAAUAAUUUAAUAAGCCAUAUAAAUGGUGCUGAAGAAGAUUAAAUAUAACAAGAUUUACUUUAUUUCUGUAGGCACUAGACAAUCAAAAUCAACUUGGCAAGAACUGGAAAAGAAGCAAAAUCAAGAAUGGCUGGUAUGAACUGGAUGUCUUACUCUGUGACCAAAAAGAAAUGUGCUACUGCUGCAUGUGAUGGGAAUAUGAAAUAAAAAAUAGAUCUUCAAGAUGUUAAAUAUCAAAGCAACCAUUUUCCCCCUGUAGAAUCUCAAUUUUGAAGAGAUUAUUAUGAAGUUGUAGGUUGAUUUCCUUGACCACUUGUUUAUGCAUAUAUCUUUGGGGUGACCCAUGAAAAUCUUGUGCAUUUAGAUAUUAACUAAUUUAGAACAUGUAAUGCAGACAUUCAAUUUAUUGGGCCAUUACUUGCUGUAAAGCAUGGAAUUGGAACAGUUGCUUGUUUUCAUGCUAAUUGAUGGUUACAGAGUAUUAAGUUGUCAAAGGGAGAACUUAAAAAGCACCAAUGUUUUCAACUGGAUAAGAAAUGCUAAUACCGUAGCUUUGCUAGAUGAUGCUAGGACGAGAAAAAGGGAAAACAGAAAAUUGUGAAGAACAAUGACACAGAACUUUUUCUCUCUUUUCUAUUUUUCCCAGGAGAAGGUUAAUCAGAGGGAGUGGUGAAGAAAAGGCAUAUCUCAAAAUGACAAAGAGAUUGGUUAUAAGGCGCGGUAAGAGGCAUUCUUACAUGAUUGAGAUCAAGAAGCACUUGAGAUUGAGAUUGAGAUUGAGAUUUGAUUUGAUGAUGAACUAUUAACCAGAUAUGCAUAGGUUUUGAAUAUGUGAAACCUUGGACCACUUGGAGUUGGGGCCGCUGCUUUGAGGAGUGCACCUUUCCUUUAACUAGUAAUGGAGCAUGUGCUUUGCACGUGAACAUGAUGCUUUUAGAGUUUUUUUGCUUUAAAAUUUCUAGAAAAUUAAUUAUUUUGAAGGAAUAAAUGUAAUUGAGACAAACAAAUGUAAUAUUUAAUAUUUAUAUUAUUUGGAACUUAGUGUGCCCUAACCAAUACAAAUGUACAAGCAAUAAACCAUUCAUUGUUCCAAAAGCACUUUUAUUUUGUAACAAUAUCAAUAUUUUUUGUAUUUUGGUUAAAUAUAGAUGACCUAAAUGUUCAUUUUUAUGCCAUUUGUGUUUAAUUUUUUUUAAUAAUUUGUUGCUCCCCUUUAAAUCAGUCUAUGAAAUGUUUAUUAGUUUUAGUGAGACUUUCUAAUUAUUGCUACUUUUUUGCUAGCUGUGGAUUGUAAAAUGAUCAAUUGUACUAUUGUAAUUAUAAUAGUAUCUAAACAUAUUGAAAUUCCAUUGUUCGAAUUUAAAUAGCUUAACUUUGAAGAGAAAUGUUUUGAUUUAGUGAAACUUAUUUGCAUUUCUUAUUGAUGACAUGCUUUAUGAUUAUAGUGUUUAUAUGAUUAAAAAUUGUAAGACAUUAAAAUUAUUUAUUAUAUUAUAGUCAAACUGGACUUGGAUAUAUUUUUAUUCAUCUUUGAAGUACUCCUUGAAAUUGAUAUUUAUAAAAAAAGUUUUUUUGGCUUAAUUCACCAUAAUUCAAAGGGAUGUUUCACCUUUGUAAUUAUUAUUAUAAUUGGCGUUGAUGAAUAUAAUAUUCAUAAAUUAUAGUUUAAUACUGUUAGUUGUUACAGGAAUAUGACUGAUAAAAUUCAUUAAAUUUAAUCUUUAUUACAAUUUAAAUAAAUAAAUUCCCAACAUUAAACUCUUUGCCUACCUUGGUACUCCAUUUGCUACUAUAUAUUGGAUUAAUGUUUUUUAACUCAGUACCAAUAUACAUAUAUUAAAAAGGUGCUCUUAAAGCUUAAUUUACUUAUAUCCUAAAAAUGAAAAGGCUUGCAAUACUUUUUAGGAGACUCAUAGUACCAAUUUGUUAUGUUUUGUUCCAUAUUUGAAAUACUCUCUAAACUUGGAUUUUGUAAAUAAAUUUAUUCUUCUUUCUUUUGAUAAAUAAAAAAAAAGUAAGGAAUCUUUCAUUUUUGUAACUGCUUGCAUGUUUGAUAUUAUUUAUUAAUGAUGAAAUGCAACGCAAUUUGUUCAUUUAUUAGAGAGGAGUGUAAUUUUGGCAUCACAAAAACUAAUAUCAUUUUUCGCUUACACUAUUAACCACUAAGAUUCACCAUAUUUUAUUAUAAUUUAUAAAUAAAAUUUAUUCUUCAUUUUUUGAUUUAAUUCUCUAUAACUCAAGGGAAUGUUGUUCAUUCUUGUAAUUGUUAGCAUAACAGAUAUUAAUUAUUGAUGAAAUGCAAUGAAUUGGUUGUUUCUUUUUUGGUUUAAUUAACCAGAAUUAUCACAAUUCAAAAAAUGUUUCUUUGUAACGGUUAGCAUAAUUCUUAUUAAUUAUUAAGGAAAUGCAAUGUAAUUUGUCCACUUAUUGGUGUCAAGGGUAAUAUUGGUAUCACAAAAACUAAGACCAAUUUUUACUUACACUCACACUAAAGGUUCAUCAUGCUUUUUAUAUAGUAAUAACCAGAAUUAUCACAAUUCAAAAAAUAUUUCUUUGUAACGGUUAGCAUAAUUCUUAUUAAUUAUUAAGGAAAUGCAAUGUAAUUUGUCCACUUAUGGGUGUCAAGGGUAAUAUUGGUAUCACAAAAACUAAGACCAAUUUUUACUUACACUCACACUAAAGGUUCAUCAUGCUUUUUAUAUAGUAAUAAUAAUAAUAGAUAGAUAGAUAGAUAGAUAGAUAGAUAGAUAAUAGAUAGAGAAGAACCACAAACGUACAGACUUGUUAAUUUGGUGUGGCCAGAAUUGCGGGUCUAAGGAGUGGAAGAGGGUUCACAAAUUUACUGCACAUGAUAUGUAAACUAAUCUGAAAAGUGCAAUUUGAAUGAAUAGGUGCAAUCAUAACGUACGACAGAUUAGCUGAUAUACAUGACAAACAAAGUAAAGUCAAUUCUUAAUUUCUUCCACAUUGUUACCUUAUUAGUUGAAUUGCUUGACUUCUGUUUUAUGCCAAACUUGCAUUGAUAACCCAGAAAAUCUUGUGCAUUUGGUUAUUAACUGCUGAAACAAUAUAUUAACUAAAUCGUCCAAUGAAGACAUGGAACCGUUUCCUAUUGAUGGUAAUGUUAUUUAGGACAUAUGACUCUCAAUUAUGACACAAAAGCAUAAGAAAGACACCAAACAAAAUUGAAAAGAACAACAUCAUGCUUUUUUUUCAUUUUUUGUUUAAGAUUUAAGAGACUACUAACAUAAGUAAUAUUUACUCAACAUCAUAUAGACCGAGUAAUUUUGAGAUGGGUAUCAACUGUGGGAUUAGUGUAGCGGCUAGUGUCUGGUUCUCUUAAGGAAUAACUAUGAAUCAUAAAGUAACAGCAUCAUUCUAGACGUACUAUGUUUAACUGCAAAAAGAGAACAGGCAAACUCACAAAAUCAUGUUAUAUGUAAUGGACCUAAGUUACAACUUCAAGAAGGGUGGUGAUCAGCUUGUGGAGGCCAACUAACAGACGAUAAGUAGUCACAAGAUAGACUGACAAUUUUCUGCAACUAAUUGCGGCUAAUUUGAGAGGCAAGCAGUCUGAGACAGAAAAGCAAUUGAGGUUCAUAAUCAGUGAAUUGCUACCUCAAAUCAUGACCAACAGUUUGAAGGCACCACAUUCACAAUGUAGAUCUCAGACUUUGGCCAUCUCAGUCACUUAGAAGCAAAAGAGAGUGCAUUCUAUACAUAUGUCUUCAGUUUGAAAAUGAUGAAGAAGGAAUAACAGGAUAUUGACAGGUACGGAAGUAAUUAGGCCAUUGCAGAAAACUCAAACUCUGGACAGUGUAUAGAAGAUCAUAAAGCUAACAAGAAAUUUCAGAUAAUUGCAUGACAUUUCUGUUCAACAGAUCUUACAGAAAGCUUAAAAAAAGCUUUUAUCUUUGUUUUAAAACCUAAAUUUGGCAAGCAGAUAUGAAAUCUUUCUCCUCACACUAUAGAAACCAAGUAGCGUCUUGAAAAUUGUUCUAGUUCGUGUCCAAAACUCCAAAAAAAUGAAAAGAGAAGGGGCAGCUAGCAAGCAUGACAGGCAGAGACAGCUCAAGAAUCUUCAUGAAGGCAAAUUCCAAGAGUUGCGAAUUAUACUAUUUGAUGCACGAAAAUUUAAAUCAUCACAGUUAAAAUUAAGUUUUCAACAAAUGAUAAUCUGCCAAGUCUCUGGAGCUUCAUUGCAGGAGCAGCACUAUUUUCCUUGGCAAUCUCAAAAAAUGACUUGAAUAUGUCCUUUUUUUGUUGGUUUUAGUUAAAAAAUUGAGAAUCAAACUGCUUAAACUUCAAUAUUACAUAGUUGAAGAAAUGUUGAAUCAUAAGUUAGGAUAAUUUUAAGGGAAAAAAAGUGGUAUCAUGGAUUACCAGUCCCUUUGCCAACACCAAUUCAACAAUCAAGGGGCAGAGAGAAUUUGUCGAUUGACAAGUGUCCUCAUGUUGAGAGAUCAUAACUAGGGAAAGUUGAGUUGAAUCCCAUCUCUAAGAGAUGUUGUAGAGAAGAUCAAAUCUCAGAUGGUUUACAGCAAGAUGAUAAAAUGACAGGUGCAUUUUCAAGAGGUGAAAGUUCAGAGCAACCAUUUUGUCCCAUAGAAUCUCAACUUUCGGAAUCAAUGUACAAAUCACAGUGGCAGACAUAUGUGGUGAGCAGAUAAAACUGCUAUUUUUUAUUGAAAGAUAGCAAAGGCGGGAAACUCAGUGCAAAUAUUCUUAAGCUAUCAUAUUAUGCUUGGCUGUCCACACCAAAUAAUCUGUUCUUAAAUAUCUGCAAUCUAUAAUUGAGUUAGAAGUGAAAUGGACCAUGUGCUAGAACCAAAAUAUCAAAAUGCUCAUCAAAUAUACUCUUUACAUCUGGAAGUGGCUCUUAAAAAAGCCAAAAUUAUACCAAAAAGAAUUGAUUGGAAGAUGAACUGAGUUUCUCAGGGAGGAGCUAGAAGUGCCAACUGUGAGCCGUGAUCCGUAUUCUAUGAGGUAUGUGUCUGUGUAUUGAGUGUGUGCUGUGACAUUAUAGUAAGUGGUAGUGUUUUCUUUGCUAACAGCAGUUAAACAUUUCAGACUCUCUAAGACAAGGAAAUUUCAGCAAAGCAGACUUCUACCUUCAACAAACUAAAGUACAAUCAACACUUUAGAUCUCUAAUUGCGACCUGUGAUCAAAUUGAAGGUGCACAAUGGAAUCCUCUCAAAUUCCUGCUAUUGUAUUGCUAGACAACAUCCCUGGAAGCAGAUCCUCAUAAACUUUCAAAUUUUUGUAACUUAAAUCAUUUUAGUUACCAUCUCACAUAAGGUAAUAAAUAGAAAUCAUCAUACGAGUUUCAUUGGAGUACGUUCUCCUACAGAAACAAAAGAAGCUAUAAAUUAAAAAGUCUAAAAUCUUUGUCUGCGGUUGCUAGUUCACAAUUUUUUGUGCUUGGACAUACUUUCAUUUGAGGCUUUACUCCAUGAAUAUAAUGCAUUAUCUUUUCUUUUUUACAAGCAAAUUUAAAAGUAAAUAAAUUUUUCACAGUAAAUGGUGGUGUGUAUACUUGAGUUUGAUGAAAGCCGUAGAUUUAAAAUCUCAAGAAAGGUUGUUCCUGCAUUAUAAUUAUGAAAAAGGAAGUUCUAUUACAUUUUCUUGAGCUGGGAAUCUUACAAAAGUAAGUUUUUUUUUUUUUGUUGCUUUUACCCUAAAGAUGAUGAGCAGGUAAUAAGACUUGAUCCUAUAUACAUAUAAUUAUCCGGCUUAGAUAUGCUAACUUGCGGACAAUCCUUGAAAGUUAGCAAAAACUCUAAUGGUCAAUCUGGCUCUCUAGUAAUGAUCAUUGUCGCGCCCCACUUUUCGAAGAUGAUGAGUUGUGGUGUGUGUGUGGUGUGAGAUGUGAGUGGUGUAAUGGAAUGUGAACGUGUGUAAAUGAAAAGUAAAAGGCCAUGGGACUUGAUAAUGCGACGGUUUGGCCAUAUAAAGUUCAAAAAGGGUUUUUUGUAUCAAAAAUGGAGUCGCCACUUGGUAUAGGGUUAGGGUGUACCAAGUCACCCAAAAAAUGGUUUUUUGUUUUUGAAUAAAAAAAGUAAAUAAACCCUUUUAAAGAACUUUUGGGUCUACGUAACCAAAAAGAGGGAUCGGGGGUCACAUUUGACGAAGGGGAAGGCAAGGAUAAAAAAUCCAAGGCACCCCUUCGACCUAGCCAAGGCUAGUUGCGUGACUUAAACCAAUUUUUCCUAAUUUUUCUACCCAAGGUAUGUAUCGCGUGUUGGAUAUGUCUAUAUGAAUGCAAAACCCUAGACCUAGGGGUAUUGGGGGAAAUUUCUCUUCAAAGGUUGAGUGGUGCCAAUCACAUUAAUUGUGAAGCCCAAUAAUGAUCCUUUGGAGAGGUCACACGUAAUCCUAAAUGACGUAAAAAUGAAUGGGGUGCAUGUCAUGUGAAAAUGUAAGUUUAUGUGAAGUGAGAAAAGUGGAGGUGUGCAAAUGUAUUUACAAGGUAAGGUGAGUAAAGAAUGAUAAUGUGAAAAUAAUAUAAAGUGCAUGUGUGCGAGUGAUAUGGCAUAGAGUGUGAGUAGUUAAAUGAAAACGUGUAAAAGUAGUGUGAAGUGAGAAUGUGGAAAAAGGGUUAGAAUAUAAAGUAAGUGUAUGUGAUAGUGAAUGAAUAGAAUGCAUGAAUCCUAUAGGAAUGCAUCAAGACGGGAACGGGGAGUCCUAACUUUGUGACUUAAUCUUCCCUUUGAUUAGAAGGCGAAACUAGCGUGCUAAGGCUAUCGAGUAGCCACACUCGCUCGUUUCCCUUAUCAGAAGGGGACUCUUCAGGCAAAUGAACCCUAUAACUAGCAUGAAAUGCAAAAAUCCUAAAAUGAGGGGAAAGGGGAAUCGAGGAGCAUGCCAGAUGAUAAAACUAAGGAAAAAUGCAUGAUAUGUAGUGAACAGGCAAAUAAUGCAUUAAUGAAAAACAAAGGAAAAAUCCUAUUGGGUCUAGCGUUGGACUAGCCCUUUCCAUGAAUUCCUAAUGAAAUAAUGAACCACAACUAGCAUUGGACUAGUGUGGUGACGUACAUUCAUCCAUCACAUUUAUUCAGGCUAUGGAAAGCGAGUAGACAUGCCAAACACUUAUAAACACAUAGCACAUAACAUUUUGCAUGCUCGACUAGAUGCAAGGCCCUAGCAAAGCAAAUUAACACGUAGCAACUAAGCAUGCAAGGCACAUGAGACAAUUAAAGCCCUAACUAUUACAUUUGCUAGCUAGGCACAAGUCUUCGAUAGGUCUUCAUUGAAUGCUCCUCCAAGCCUUAUCUAUUACAUUAGGGGGACCCUACUACAAUCUAAAAGGGGGAAAGGGAAUAAAAUAAUUGAAUCCCUAACUAUUACAAGCCAAGAGGUGUACACAUACCCCAUAAAGAAUAAUUUAAAUAAAAAGCAAAAGUAAAUGAAAUAAAUGAAAUAAAUGAAAGGAGUUAAAGGAAUGGCAAGGAAAGCAACGUAGACAUGCAAUUCACACUUAGCACGUUGGAUCACAUAGGAGAAAUAAAAAUCAAGGAGAUAUAGGUUACCUCCCUUGUAAUUGGGCCCCACUGAAGUGAAAUCACUUAUUUAUCCUCCAAAAUAAAAGAAAUGGUCAAGGCACCAAUUUAUUUGGCAAAUAAUCACAAAGGAUAAAAAUAAACAUGAAUUUGAAUCAAUUAAAUCAUGUCAACAAACCACAUUUAAGAAGUCAAGAGAAGAGAGGACUUGAUUGCAAAGAUUGAAAAAAAUUUUGGGGCCAAAAUUAAAGAAAAAUAAAGUUCAAGGGCCUAUUUGCAAUUAAACCAGGGACUCAAUUGAAAGGAAUGGAAAUGUCUAGGGCCACAGUAAAAAUAUCCAAAAGUCAGGGGACUGGAAUGAAAUUUCGUCAUUGGGCUACUGGACUUAACAGGCCAUUGGGCCCUUCUCUCUAUUUGUUUGGGCCAAGACUCCUUAGCCUGCCACAAAGCCCAGAGGCUACAUCUGGGCUGGCCUCUACUUAUCAAUAAAACAAACCCAACAAAAGAGUGGGCUUUAGCCCCCCUUAAGCCCAAGCCAAAAAUCCAAACAAAAUAAACUAAACCCACUUUCAUAAAUCCAAACAAAUUAUUAUUACCCACAACCCAAAUCAUAAUAUCAAACCUAACAAGAUUAGCAAAUCAACUAAAAUUAUUAGGCCAUAAUUAUAAUCCAAAUCCCAGAAUUAAUCUAUCCAACAAAUCACAUAAAAUAUGCAAACAGAGGAAUAAGCUUAAAAGGGCAAAAUUAGUUUGAUUUUUCCAGAUUUUGGGCCGUAAUGAAAUGAGACAGAAAAUGAGGGAUUAAAUUGCAAUUUUAGACAUUUCUUCACUCAUGUUUCGCAGAGGCUUUCCUCUUCAUUGCUGAUACCAGUUAAGCAUUUCAGCUUUCCUUUCGAUUAGCAAAACCAGAAAUUUGGUUUCGAUUCCAAUCAUUCCAGCAAACAAUGAAACUCACAACAAUACUCCCUCUCAACAUCGAUUCGGAUUCAAGCAUAGAGAUAAAAAAACAGAAAAAAAAAACAACGAACCAACACAGCUUCUAUCAUGGAGAAUCGUUCAUUAUGUUCGGACAAGCAAAAACCAUCCGAAUGUUCCAUUUUCUUCGUACGUAAAGCAAACGAAAUCAUCUUCAAGUAGAAGGUUCAUUCGGGCAUUUUAGCAAACAGCAAAUGGGCAUGAAAAAACUCAACAGAUUUCUGCUUAAAUUACAUUACAACCGGCCCCAAAAUUAUCAGAAAAGCAAGGAAUUCAGUCCAACACACGCAGAAAACAUAUGCGAACAAAAUUACCGACCCUCAACAGAAAAAAAAAAUCAUGAUGACAGACCCACGGCAGCCAUGCUUCUGAAAUUCAUUCUUGAAGAAAAAAAAACUGAAAUGUAAAAGGGAAAGAAUAGCUUACAUCGUUUCUCACGGUGAAGAUUCACGAGCGGCAGCGGUGAAUUCCGCUGAUGCGGUGGCGAGCAAUGGUGAUUCCAGUGAACGGCAGCAGCUACAAGCUUUUCGAAUUUGCCCUUUAUUUUUGCUGAAGCUUUCUUCCUCUGCUUCCGUUCGCGGCCGGGGACUUUUCCUCUAUUCUUCAUGUCGCUCUGUUCUUUUUGGCCAAAACCUCCCCUAUUUUCCCUUUUGCUGUUUUUCGUUGAUUGUUUCUUCCAUUUAUGCUCAGCCCGCCGCCCGGUUCCUCUUUUUUCCUGCUUUCCUUUCUUUUGCUCUCGGACGAAAUUUUUCUGUUUUUGUUCUUUUGCCCCUGCUCGGCAAUUCCGCCGCCCCUGCCCUCUCAGCUCUCAAGCCUUUUUGCUUUUUGCUCUCCCUUUUAGCCGCCACCCUCCUCGGCCUUUUCUCCGUGUUUUUUCCCUUUUUUCCUCAGAUUCUUAGCCCCCAGCUUCCCCUUGUUUUGUCUAGCCUCUGUUUUUUCCCCUUGCCCGCUGCUUGGCCCCUCUAUUUUUAGCUCUUUUCUCUUCCCCCUGUUUUCAAGCCUCUUCGAGGGUUUUUUCUUCCUUUUUUUCCGAUGCCCCCCAAAAAACCCCCCAAGUGUCCUUGACAGCUACCCCCUAUACACUUGUCCUACCAUUCCUCAACCACUUGUCUAAUGCUUAUUUGCACACUUGUUCAACAUGCAAUUGACACACUUGUUUAACAUGCUUAAUUUUUAAAAAUUACCUUGCAAAAUGCCUUAGCAAGAAAAAAUCAAAUUUUAAAAAGAUAAAAUGGAUCUUUAUUCGGGAUUUUCCUAAAAUUUAGUGUAAAAUUGCUUUAAAAAGAAAAUGAUGAAUUUUAAUGCAUUUAAAAUAAGAAUGAACAUCAAUUACCAUUUGCAACCUCCAAUCAAUUAAAAAUAAUAAAUAUGAGACAAGAAUAAAUAAUAAUAAUAAAACUAAAAAUUGAAUCAAAGGAAGUCAAAAUUGAAUGAAUAAAGCUAAAACUGAAUCGAUGAAAUUUUUGGUGUCUACAGUUUGCCCCUCUUUGUCUGAGUUUUGAAAAAACUUGAGACAAAGAAGUAGACACCAAAUGCUUACCUGUACCAUUCGGUUGCCCCUAUUCGGAGGGCUGACCUAAACAAGGAAUUUCAAACAUGGGACUGGCCUGAACAGAAUUGUAAACGGGAUAGACCCGGACAGGAAUGUAAAUGCGAUAGACUCGGAUAAAAAUGUAGAUGGGACAGACCCAUGGGAUAGACCCGAACAGAAAAUUAAAUAGAGAACUGUAUAGGACUUGUUUGAAAAAUUAUCUAAAAAAUUUGCCCCAGUGUGAUGAAUUGGUCGGUGGGAUAACAUCUGAGACCGACGGGGUGUGGACGGUCAGCGGGAUAAAACCCGGUCCUGCAGAGGUGAGCGGUCAGCGGGAUUAGACCCGGUCCUGCCGAGGUGAGCGGUCAGCGGGAUUAGACCCGGUCCUGCCGAGGUGAGCGGUCAGCGGGAUUAGACCCGGUCCUGCCGAAGUAAGCGGUCAGCGGGAUUAGACCCGGUCCUGCCGAAGUAAGCGGUCAGCGGGAUUAGACCCGGUCCUGCCGAGAUAAGCGGUCAGCGGGAUUAGACCCGGUCCUGCCGAGAUUGGCGGGAUAAAACCCGGUCCCAAUGUGACUUUUGUAAUGUUGGUGGCACUAAAUCCAAGCCCAACGUGACAAAGCGAAGUUGGUGGCACGAAAACCAAGCCAGGCCCAACGUGAUAAAGUGAUGUUGGCGGCACCAAGUCCAGGCCCAACGUGAUAAAGUGAUGUUGGCGGCACCAAGUCCAGGCCCAACGUGAUAAAGUGAAGUUGGCGGCACCAAGUCCAGGCCCAACGUGAUAAAGUGAUGUUGGCGGCACCAAGUUCAGGCCCAACGUGAUAAAGUGAUGUUGGCGGCACGAAAUCCAGGCCCAACUUGAUCUUUGGAAUGUUGGCGGCACCAAGUCCAGGCCCAACUUGAUUUGGAAUGUCAAGAGAAGGGGGGAACAGAAUGAUGCGCGGCGUGCAUUGGAGCUUCGCCCACAAGAAAUCAAAUUUGAUUUUUCAAGAAACAAGAAUUUGAACUUGAUUUUUGACUUUUUGAUUUGAUUUUUGGUUUUUUCUCUUUUUUUCUUUUUUCCUUCUUUUUUCCCUUUUUUCAAAAAUUUUAAAAAAAUAAUUUGCCCCAAGUGUAGUGUCCAUUUUUCCUCCUUCUUCUUGCUUCUCUUUGCAGUAUCGGCCUUCCGCCUUACUGGAUGCCUUUCGUCAUUUUGAAUCAUGAAUACCUGUACAAGGGGUUCAUCAAAGUAUGACAUGCACUUAAAUUCCAGGAAAAGAGCAGCGGGAUUGUUUCGAAAAAUGUUAUUAUUUGAUUUUUGGACACAAAUCUCAAAUGUAUUACAAAAAAUUUGCCCCAGUAUGGGCUUAUUUCAUGAAAUCUCACAAAUAAAAUUUUUGCCCCAGUGUGGGCUCCCUUAAUUGCAAAAAUUUGUUCAGAUGAUUUCCCAUUGAUUUGAACAAAGAAAAACCGCACUUUCUAAAAUUUAGAAAAGAGUGCACAUAUACAACAAUGUGAAGAAACUUUAAACGUCAAGUUUGAAACUCAUGCAGAAAUUUCAUGAUGAAUUCCUCGAAGUAACACCAAAUUCAAGAAGAUUUCUUCCUCACUUUUAGCAUUGGUGUUUAGGGUAACGGGUCACCACUUCUGGUUGGCUCAUUUUUCAGGACCAAUCAAGUGACUUUAUUUUUGAUUUGGAAGUGGCUGAAGGAAAAUGAGAGGUCAGAAUCUGUCUCAUUUUUGUGCCCCAAUUGUAUGUAAUCCAUUCAAUGUCACAUCUUAGUGAAAGCAAAGAGUUUGUCACCCUUAUUUUUCAAGAAAACUUAGUCAACAUACCAGCUUUCUAGGCUUGUAACGUAUGGACAGAAGUGAUAGCUAAACAUGUGGAAACGGGUUAUACCCUUAUGAUCACAAAUGAUUUGAUGAAUUUCUUAUGAGCAUGAUCCUCACUUUGGAUUGUCAUGAAGGAAUAAGUCAACGAUGGACUUUCUUAGCUUGUAAUUUGGCUUGAAAAACGAUAGCUAAAGAAUAAAACUUUCAAGGACAUUGCACCGAAGAUCACAUUUUUCCAAAAUUGCCCCUAUUUUGAACUCAAAAGAUCUCAGACUUUGUUUGCAUUUUUCUCAUCAUUUACCAGGGACUUCAGCGUCGAAUUUUUCUGUAUUUUCUUGCAUUUACUUUUCUUGCUUCGCUUUUUGCCUCUUUUUCCUUUCCCUCAACUUGGUGGAUUUUCACCUGGUAAGUAGCGUCAACCCCAUACCCAGGCAAUUCAGAAAUACAGCUGAAAUUUUCCGGCAUCAGAAAUUUUCUUGCCAGGGCCAUUGCAAAGAACAGAAGUCAGGACUUUCGGCUUUUGUAAUGGGGUCAGGUGGGGUGCUUAGAAAAGUUAAGGCUUGAAAGCGGAUUUCAAAAGUGGUUUGAAAAAUCUGAGAUCGCAUUGUUGCUCCAGCCCCAUUUUUAGGGUUAAAUCAGAAUUUGCCAGAGCUUGUGUUCAAUUGGGGCUUUUUCUCUUUCAUUUUCUUUCUUCUUUUGAUUUUUCGGCAUUCUGCCAUCUUUGAACUUUCACAAAAUUUGCCCCAGUUUAUUUUUAAACUGAGGUUCUCUUUUCUUCUUUUGCUUUUUGAUUUUGUGACUUUACCUUUUCACUUCUUGAAAUUUUUUCCUUUCAACUCAAACUUGCCCCAGUGUGGGGUUUGCGAUUCUCAGGGGUUGCCAAACGAAGUAUUUCAUUCUGAAGGCUCAAAAGGGAUAACUAGGGAUAGAUGCUUGAUCGGAAAAGAAGAUGGCCUGACUUGUAUUCCGUUCCUUACAUUAACUCUGAAAAGAAAUUUUCAUUAAUGGGAAAUUUUUGGCAUGUAUCCGAAUUAACUGACUGAGGAAGACCCUUGCUCAUUCAUGUCUAUGAAACAUAAGUGAUCCACCGGAUAGAACUUGUUUUCUUCUUUUUCUUUUCUUUUUUUUUUUCAAAAUUGGAACCCAAGUGAAAUCAAAUUCCCCAAAUUUGCGGUUCCCUCCUUAUUCUAGCAUUUUUUGCUUUUCCCCUUUUCUUUUCCCUUUUUUCAAAAUUUCCCAAUCUCCUUCCCCAAUGUGGGGUGCGAUCAUAUGUGCACUCGAAAAGAACCACCAAUUUAGCUCAAACGAGGAUGCAAGGGAUGAUCAGUGUUUAGAUUGUAGAACUGACGGCCAAAGUAUCAUUCUUAUACCUCAUGACAACCGAAGUAGCGAAAUGGUCAUUGAAAACCCAUUCUUCUUUUGAUAUUUGAAAAUUUUUCAAUGACGGGUAGUGAUCAUUAAGACCCUUAUUUGAAACGAAAUUAUUCUUUUAGAAGCUCAAAUGGGAGAGCAAAUGAUAAAAAUCUGUACAGGUAAUGAAACGAAUGCUUGAAGUAUCAUUCCAAAUUUUCCAAACAAAUAAGAAUAAUGCACAUUUUUGCUUUCACUUAGAUGUGAUUGAACCAGAUUAGACGCCUUGAACAUUUUCAAGCAAAAGUUGCCCCAAUUUACAAUUUAUCAAUCAAUGUGACUGAUUUUAUUUUGGAAUUAAGUGAAGGAGAAAGGUAUCUCAUAGGGCCUUUUGAGUGACCGUUCACUCUCUUUCUUUCUGAGCACUCUUAUUGUACAGGUUGGAACACCAAUCGAGUGUAAGGAUUUUAGGAAGCAUACACUUGUGAAAUUCAGGCUAUAGGUUGAAAAAUCUCAAAUUGGGUCUUAUUUCUCAAAAAUCAUCAUGAAAUCUCCAAUGAGUAAGAAUAAAGAAUGAAAUGUACAUAAAUAUACACAAAACAAAAAUUAUCCAAAAAAUUUUAUUGUUGAAAAAGUUUGAAACAAAAUUGCUCAAUCAAAUAUGAUACAAAUGAGAAGAGAGAAACUCGUAAAGAGCUCAACACAUACACUUUUUGUCUCCUUUUCUUUUGGAACAAAAUGUAUUAACAAAUCAAAUAAAUAGAAUUUCCCCUUUAUGCUUUCGCGGCAAUGUCUACCUAAAAAUCAAGUAAUACUUGUAAUCUUCAAGCUUUAUUGGAUCAAAAUUAUCAGAUAUAGAAGAAUAUUCUCGCCUUAUUGAAACAUUUUUAUAAAUGCAGGGGGAGGGGAAAACAAAAAGAAAAAUACCCAGAGUCAGUAAGUAAGAAUAAAAAAAAUCGGUAUGCAUGUCCUAUGGGGGAACCCUUUUUAUGCCAAGGGUAAGCCUAGCAUGAAAAUGCAAUCCUCUAGGGAAGCACUAUACCAUACCUGACGGAUCUGAUCAACUCAUUGAGUGAAAAAUAAUUUGAAAAAUUUGGCCAUUGGAGUGGCAAGAGAUUUGUCAAAAUGAGGACAACGUCCGAAUAGAUUGAUCACCUUUGAUUUGCAAAACGCAUGGGUUUGACCUUGACGAACUCCUAUCGAAGAGAUUGGAAUUCGUUGAUAAAAUUUCUCAGUGAAUUACGGGUCAAAAACCCUAAUUGAUCAAGUGAUUGGAUGCAAUGGACGGUUUUCUUCAAAAUUGACUAGAUUUCCCAAUUUGGAAUUCGACAUUGAAAUCCUAAUUGGUCAAAUGAAAUUGACAAUUUAUUGAAAAUCGACCGGAUUACCCUAGAAGGGAAACAGGUCAAAAACGGCUCGGUUGCCCUAAAAAAAGGUAAAUUGGCCAAAUGAAUGAAAUUGAAUUAGUGACUUGUUCAAAAAUCGGCCGAACGACCCUAAAAAGGGUAAAUCGGUCAAAUGAAUUGAUGAUUUAUUCAAAAUCGACCGGAUGACCCUAAAAAGGGUAAAUUGGUCAAAUGAAUUGACGAUUUAUUCAAAAUCGACCAGGUGACCCUAAAAAGGGUAAAUUGAUCAAAUGAAUUGAUGAUUUAUUGAAAAUCGACCAGGUGACCCUAAAAAGGGUAAAUUGGUCAAAUGAAUUGACGAUUUAUUCAAAAUCGACCGGAUGACCCUAAAAAGGGUAAAUUGAUCAAAUGAAUUGAUGAUUUAUUGAAUGAAUGGGUAAAAUGGAUUGGUUGUGUCGCGCCCCACUUUUUGAAAAAUAAGUGUGAAUGUGUGAUGGUGUGUGAGUGUGUGUGAUAUACAUGUGAACGUGUGCGGAAUGAAAAGUAAAAGGCCAUGGGACUUAGAAUGCGACGAUUUGGCCAAGUGAAGUUCAAAAGGGUUUUGGUAUCAAAAAAUGGAGUCGCCACUUGGUAUAGAGUUAGGGUGUACCAAGUCACCCAAAAAUGAUUUUUGUUUUUGAAUAAAAAAAAGUAAAUAAACCCUUUUUGAGAACUUUUGGGUCUGCGUAACCAAAAGAGGGAUCGGGGGUCACAUUUGACGAAGGGGAAGGCAAGGAUAAAAAUCCAAGGCACCCCUUCGACCUAGCCAAGGCUAGUUGCGUGACUUAAACCAAUUUUCCUAAUUUUUCUACCCAAUGUAUGUUCGCACGUUGGAUAUGACUAUAUGAAUGCAAAACGGAAAGGAAAAUGCAAUCCUAAAUUCUACGAUGUCUUUCGUGAGGCUUUUGGUCCCAAACCACAUGAAUUGUGGCGGCCAACAAAGGAAAACCCCCAUAGAGGUCGAUUAAUGCAAAUGAGACUCAAAUGUGCAAGUGUGGAAGUGUAUGAAAGAAAUUAAAAAUCCAAGUGUUUGUGUGCAAGUGUAUGAAAAGGUGCACGUGUGCAAUUGUAUGAAAAUUCCAAGUGUUUGUGUGCAAGUGUAUGAAAAGGUGCACGUGUGCAAUUGUAUGAAAAUUCCAAGUGUUUGUGUGCAAGUGUAUGAAAUAUAGUGAUAAGUGCAUAUAGGUGUAAUUAAAUGCAAUUUUGUGAAGUAGAAAUCAAAAUGAACAACAAGGAAAGGAAAAUGUGAAUUGAAAAGAAUGAGUGAGUGAUAAAUGAGAAUGAAUGAACCUAAGGGAAUGCAUCAGGUCGGGUAUGGGAAUGACUCCUAACUUGUCGACUUCGAUUUUCCCUUUGAUUAGAAGGUAAAACUAGCGUGCUAAGGCUAUCGAGUAGCCACACUCGCUCGUUUCCCUUAUCAGAAGGGGACCUUCAAGCAAAUGGACCCUACAACUAUCAUGAUAUGCAAAAAUCCUAAAAUGAAGGGAAAGGGGGUUCGAGGAGCAUGCCAAGUGAUAAAACUAAGAAAAAUGCAUGAUAUGUGGUGAACAAGCAAAUGAUAUGCUAAUGAGGGGAAAUCCCUAAGGGUCUAGCGUUGGACUAGCCCAUUCUAUGAAUUCCGACUAGCGUUGGACUAGCCCAUUCUAUGAAUUCCGACUAGCGUUGGACUAGCGGAAACGUACAUUCAUCCAUUCCAUUCAUUCAUGGCUAUGAAAGCAAGUAGACAUGCCAAAAUACUCGUAAACACAUAGCACAUAGCAUUUAGCAUGCUCGACUAGAUGCAAGAGCCUAAUAAAGCAAUUAAACAUGUAGCAACAAAAACAAGCAAGCAAGGGGAAGGGGAAGUGGACCAGAUGCUCUCCGAGCCCUAUCUAUUACAAGCCAAGAGGUGUACACAUACCCCAUAAAAGCAUAAAGGGGAAGGGGAAGUGGACCAGAUGCUCUCCGAGCACUAUCUAUUACAAGCCAAGAGGUGUACACAUACCCCAUAAAACUUAAAUAAAAGUAAGGCAAGUAAAUGCACGCAAGGAGGUAAGGAAAGCGAAGUAGACAGGCAUAUUCACAUAACACAUAAGGUCACAUAGGAUCAAAUGAAGUGCAAAUGAGGGAUAGAGUGUACCUCCCUUGGAAUGGAGUCCAAAUGAAGUGAAAUUAUUCAAUUACCCUCCAAAAUAAUAAAAAGGUCAUGGCACCACUUUAUUUAAGAAAAAUUAAAAGAAAUGGGCAAAACAAGGCUCACCUAGUCAUAAAGUCCCUAAAGUCAUAACUUAAGUGCAAUUUAAGCAAAGCAAGGUGGCUAAUUGGAAUCGAACAAACAAUGAAAUUGCAAAAGUUAAAACUACCAAGGACCAAGUUGAAGACAUUAUUCAAUUAGUUGGGUCAAAGUAGCAUUAGUUAGAAGCCAAGGGGUCAAAAUGCAAUUUUAGAAAAUUAUUUCAUGCAAUCUUCAUGCAAAGAACGUAGCUUAUAUUCUGCAACAAAGUUUCAGCCAUUUCUAAAGCCUUUUGCACUAUUCUAGCCGUAGCUUGCGUUUCAAUUCAUUGUCUUAAAUGAAACAAAAAUGUAAUCUUCAUCCGAACACAGCCCAACAUCCCAAUCCAACAUCAAACCGCAAUUUCUAGCAAGAAAACAAAGCUAAACAUUUGAAUAUACAAACAGCAAGAGAAAUUCUGCAUUUUUCGACAUAUGAUUUCAGCAAUGAGACUUGCUGCAUUUUCUUUCAACCUCUGAUUUCUAAUCCCAGCUUUGAUUAGAUAUUUUCAACCCAACAUCACCACUUUAGAUUAAGCAAGCAAAAAACUACACAGCCUCCACGAUUCAAACAAGCAAACUCUUAGAAAAAGCAACAUCAUGCGAAAUUCUGGACAGCAUGCUUGAAAAACAAAAGUUUCUGCAAUAAAAAAAAAAACAAAGCUUGCGGCCCUUUGCCAAGCUCAACGCAAUUUUCCAGGUUCACAGCUUCAAACUAGGCAAUAUACUACAUCAUUAACAUCAUCCUAGCAAACAGAAAUCUUAGCAACAUCCCACGCAAAAAAAAUCCAGGCAAUUAUGCAAGCAUUUGAUGAACUAAACUAAUGCAACCUUUCUAGUUUUACCCUCCAAAACCAGAUUUCAUAGCCAAGCAUAUGCACUUUUGGACCAUAAAAUCCUUAUGUUUAAGCACAAUAAAUUGAACAAAAACUGUAUAAGUAUCGAAGAACAACAUUCUGUAAUUUGGAAGCAGAAAAAUUCAUGUCAAACUUCGAACCAAAACCAGCAGACCCAUCACUCGAAACCUUUAACAAGCUGAACAUUUUGAUGAACGCAAACCAGUUGCAAAACCAAACCAUUAAAAACCAAACGAGGAACCCAACGAAUAGCACAGAAACAACAACCAGAUUUCUGGAUUUUAUCUUUAAGAAAUUAUCCUAACAAAAGGAUCGGCAAAUUAAGCUAACAUGGAGGAACCAGAAAUGAAUUCCGAUUUGAAAGCGUAGACAGCAACAAUAAACAGAAAGAAAAAUCAAAAUGACGAUUCAACAAAGAACAAAAAGGAAAGGGACUAAGACACCAAUCUAGGAGAGUACUUGCCCAAACGUUUUUGGAUCAAAAUCUGGACAGGAAACGUCAUGAAAGAGCGGCCGAAGCUGUCCCGUUCGGCUCCGAAACCGCACCAGCAAAAUUAAGCAGCGAUCUUUGGGGGCGAAUUCAAAGGAUCAUUCGAUGUUUUCUGCCAACAAAUUCUGAACGAAACCUCCUCCCCUUACUUCCUAGUUAGUGCAGAAACUGAGAGUUACUUAAAAGAACCAGAGAUCAAAGAGAAAUCUGAUCCGGAACAUGGCUCAUAGCCGGCCUUUGGUCAGAAAAAUUGCAGCUUUAUCACUUCUGUUCCAAUUUUGUUCGUAGCCUUCUUCUCCUCCGUCCAUUGCUCAUUUCCUCCUUGCUUAUCACGGUUCCUUCCCCAAGCUCUUCCUCUCUCUGCUUUCCUUCUUCCUUCUUCCAGAACCCACGCCGUCAAUCUCUUUCUUUCUACAUCUAUUUGCUUCAGCCGCCACCUUGCCCUUUCUUUUCUUUUUCCUCUCAAAGCUCCUCCUCUCCGUUUUUCUGGUUUCUUUCCUUAGCCCACCGAAGCCUCAGCUCUCCCAUUGCUCUCCCCUCUGUCCAGUUUUGCUCCCGUUUUUUCUUUCCGCUCCCGUUAGCUGCAAAACUCUCCCCACGAUGAAGCUCUCCUUGCGGCUGAUGUCUUCUUUCCUUUUUGUACCAUCUCCCAAUCCCCUAAACCUGCUCUCAAUGGCCAGCAAUCAACCUCCUCUCAGCCCCUUAUCUUAGCCAUCCGAUGGGCAUUGAGGUUGUGCCUCGCACGCUGCAAAAAAAAAAAAAUGCAGCGUGCACGCUGCGGUAAUCUCUUUUUUUUUUUUUUUAUAAAAAGAAUGCAUAUAAAUGAUAAUAAUAAUAAUAACAAAAUGACAGAACCAUGCAAUAAUAAUAAGAACGAAAACAAAUAAAUAAAUAAUAAAAAAAACAAACUAAAUAAAAACGACAAAAUGUCCAUUUUUCAAAUUUUCUACAUUUUCUUUCUUUUCAUUUUCAUUCAUUUUCUUUUUCUCAAAAUAACUUAAUAAAAAUAACUAAAGUGCCCAAAGAUUGAAUAAACAUAUUUUGUGAACAAAUUUUCCCUUUUUUUCUUUUUUUCAUUUCAAGAAUUUCUAUGCUAAAAACUUAAAAAUAAAAAUAAAACUAUAAACUAAAAACUAAAAAUCGAAUAAAACUAGCAUGACAAAUAAAAACUAAAAAUAAACAGUAAAUGAAAUUACACCAAAAAUUUGGUGUCUACAGGUUGAAUUGUCCGGCCAUUGGUGAUUUCAAAAUGAUUGAGAUGCAUUAGUCUAUGAGCUUCUAAAAAUCAAAUUUUGGCCUCAAUUUAUUUAUCGUCUCAAUAGAAGGAAUCAUUUGUGAAUUUCUUCAAAUUACUGUCCUUCACGCAAGGAAUUUUUACCAAUUUUUGAUAAAAUGGCCAAAAAGUGAUUAUUAGAUGCUCAUAUUCCAAAGAUCACUCUAUGAAAAUGAUCGGAUCCUACCUUACCUUGUGCACUACCCCCUUUGGAUGGUACAAAAUGUAAACGUGCAAGUCUCACUGGAUUAAGUAUCCGAGACACAAGGUGGCUUAUUCCUGACACGGGAUCCCCUAAAUGGCAUUCCCUUUCUAGGGUUUAUGCAUGAUGUCAUUUAUUAAAGCGAUGUAAAUAUGUGACAAAUAUGACCUAAGGGACAUAAAUAAUGCAUCGGGGGAAAAAAGGUCUAAAAUGAAAUGUAUUUAUUAAGUAUAAUGACUGAAAUUUAAACAUGUGAGUUAUCUAGUGGAUAGGUCACUAAAAGAGUGCCAAAAGGGCCUCUUAUUGCUAGGGCAUAUGAAUGCAAGCCAAGAAAACAAAAGAAUGGUUAGUGCAAUUGGUAAUACACAUAACAUAUUGGGAGCAAUUAAGAAAAAGAAAUACAAUAAAGCAAGUAAGAGGGGUGGAACCCCUUCCCUCGUGCCUAAUGUGUUUAAAAUAGGGUGAGGCUGACUCUAACCUAGGAAAAUUCUAACAUGGAUGCAUGAGGCUGGGGUUCACUAAUGCAUCUAGACUCGAUAAGGUUUCGGCUCCCAAGCCUUCAGACCUAAAGGCGAAGGGUCAUCACUCCCAGGGCCUUUGAUCGGUGGCUCGAGUGAUCCCUUAGGUAGCGCUAUGGGCGCAGAGCACACCAGCCGCCUACCCAAGGCGCCUACCCAAGGCAAUCGAUCCUAAUCCUACAAGGCGGUGUGGGAAACGCCCACGAAAAAUAAAAUAAAAUGGGAUAAAAGCAAGUAAACGUGCACGUAUGAAGUGUUUUCCUAUUUUGAGGGAAGGGGUUGAGAACCACGAGAGGCUCUAAAGGUGACACACCCCCUCCCAAAUGCAAUGCAAGCGCGAGAUAAACAAGUAAACAUACAUCCAAUCAACCAAUCACACGUACGUGAGUGAGGGAAUAGUUUGAUACGCGCGUGAGGAAAAGGGUCCUAAAAAGGGAAAAUGCAACCCUAAUAUCCACAUGCUAUACAUAAAAAAGGUAGAAAAAAGGAAAAGAACGGCUAAAUCAAAUGCUCGGACCCACUUAGGAAGUCCCCAGUGGAGUCGCCAACUGUCGCGCCCCACUUUUCGAAGAUGAUGAGUUGUGGUGUGUGUGUGGUGUGAGAUGUGAGUGGUGUAAUGGAAUGUGAACGUGUGUAAAUGAAAAGUAAAAGGCCAUGGGACUUGAUAAUGCGACGGUUUGGCCAUAUAAAGUUCAAAAAGGGUUUUUUGUAUCAAAAAUGGAGUCGCCACUUGGUAUAGGGUUAGGGUGUACCAAGUCACCCAAAAAAUGGUUUUUUGUUUUUGAAUAAAAAAAGUAAAUAAACCCUUUUAAAGAACUUUUGGGUCUACGUAACCAAAAAGAGGGAUCGGGGGUCACAUUUGACGAAGGGGAAGGCAAGGAUAAAAAAUCCAAGGCACCCCUUCGACCUAGCCAAGGCUAGUUGCGUGACUUAAACCAAUUUUUCCUAAUUUUUCUACCCAAGGUAUGUAUCGCGUGUUGGAUAUGUCUAUAUGAAUGCAAAACCCUAGACCUAGGGGUAUUGGGGGAAAUUUCUCUUCAAAGGUUGAGUGGUGCCAAUCACAUUAAUUGUGAAGCCCAAUAAUGAUCCUUUGGAGAGGUCACACGUAAUCCUAAAUGACGUAAAAAUGAAUGGGGUGCAUGUCAUGUGAAAAUGUAAGUUUAUGUGAAGUGAGAAAAGUGGAGGUGUGCAAAUGUAUUUACAAGGUAAGGUGAGUAAAGAAUGAUAAUGUGAAAAUAAUAUAAAGUGCAUGUGUGCGAGUGAUAUGGCAUAGAGUGUGAGUAGUUAAAUGAAAACGUGUAAAAGUAGUGUGAAGUGAGAAUGUGGAAAAAGGGUUAGAAUAUAAAGUAAGUGUAUGUGAUAGUGAAUGAAUAGAAUGCAUGAAUCCUAUAGGAAUGCAUCAAGACGGGAACGGGGAGUCCUAACUUUGUGACUUAAUCUUCCCUUUGAUUAGAAGGCGAAACUAGCGUGCUAAGGCUAUCGAGUAGCCACACUCGCUCGUUUCCCUUAUCAGAAGGGGACUCUUCAGGCAAAUGAACCCUAUAACUAGCAUGAAAUGCAAAAAUCCUAAAAUGAGGGGAAAGGGGAAUCGAGGAGCAUGCCAGAUGAUAAAACUAAGGAAAAAUGCAUGAUAUGUAGUGAACAGGCAAAUAAUGCAUUAAUGAAAAACAAAGGAAAAAUCCUAUUGGGUCUAGCGUUGGACUAGCCCUUUCCAUGAAUUCCUAAUGAAAUAAUGAACCACAACUAGCAUUGGACUAGUGUGGUGACGUACAUUCAUCCAUCACAUUUAUUCAGGCUAUGGAAAGCGAGUAGACAUGCCAAACACUUAUAAACACAUAGCACAUAACAUUUUGCAUGCUCGACUAGAUGCAAGGCCCUAGCAAAGCAAAUUAACACGUAGCAACUAAGCAUGCAAGGCACAUGAGACAAUUAAAGCCCUAACUAUUACAUUUGCUAGCUAGGCACAAGUCUUCGAUAGGUCUUCAUUGAAUGCUCCUCCAAGCCUUAUCUAUUACAUUAGGGGGACCCUACUACAAUCUAAAAGGGGGAAAGGGAAUAAAAUAAUUGAAUCCCUAACUAUUACAAGCCAAGAGGUGUACACAUACCCCAUAAAGAAUAAUUUAAAUAAAAAGCAAAAGUAAAUGAAAUAAAUGAAAUAAAUGAAAGGAGUUAAAGGAAUGGCAAGGAAAGCAACGUAGACAUGCAAUUCACACUUAGCACGUUGGAUCACAUAGGAGAAAUAAAAAUCAAGGAGAUAUAGGUUACCUCCCUUGUAAUUGGGCCCCACUGAAGUGAAAUCACUUAUUUAUCCUCCAAAAUAAAAGAAAUGGUCAAGACACCAAUUUAUUUGGCAAAUAAUCACAAAGGAUAAAAAUAAACAUGAAUUUGAAUCAAUUAAAUCAUGUCAACAAACCACAUUUAAGAAGUCAAGAGAAGAGAGGACUUGAUUGCAAAGAUUGAAAAAAAUUUUGGGGCCAAAAUUAAAGAAAAAUAAAGUUCAAGGGCCUAUUUGCAAUUAAACCAGGGACUCAAUUGAAAGGAAUGGAAAUGUCUAGGGCCACAGUAAAAAUAUCCAAAAGUCAGGGGACUGGAAUGAAAUUUCGUCAUUGGGCUACUGGACUUAACAGGCCAUUGGGCCCUUCUCUCUAUUUGUUUGGGCCAAGACUCCUUAGCCUGCCACAAAGCCCAGAGGCUACAUCUGGGCUGGCCUCUACUUAUCAAUAAAACAAACCCAACAAAAGAGUGGGCUUUAGCCCCCCUUAAGCCCAAGCCAAAAAUCCAAACAAAAUAAACUAAACCCACUUUCAUAAAUCCAAACAAAUUAUUAUUACCCACAACCCAAAUCAUAAUAUCAAACCUAACAAGAUUAGCAAAUCAACUAAAAUUAUUAGGCCAUAAUUAUAAUCCAAAUCCCAGAAUUAAUCUAUCCAACAAAUCACAUAAAAUAUGCAAACAGAGGAAUAAGCUUAAAAGGGCAAAAUUAGUUUGAUUUUUCCAGAUUUUGGGCCGUAAUGAAAUGAGACAGAAAAUGAGGGAUUAAAUUGCAAUUUUAGACAUUUCUUCACUCAUGUUUCGCAGAGGCUUUCCUCUUCAUUGCUGAUACCAGUUAAGCAUUUCAGCUUUCCUUUCGAUUAGCAAAACCAGAAAUUUGGUUUCGAUUCCAAUCAUUCCAGCAAACAAUGAAACUCACAACAAUACUCCCUCUCAACAUCGAUUCGGAUUCAAGCAUAGAGAUAAAAAAACAGAAAAAAAAAACAACGAACCAACACAGCUUCUAUCAUGGAGAAUCGUUCAUUAUGUUCGGACAAGCAAAAACCAUCCGAAUGUUCCAUUUUCUUCGUACGUAAAGCAAACGAAAUCAUCUUCAAGUAGAAGGUUCAUUCGGGCAUUUUAGCAAACAGCAAAUGGGCAUGAAAAAACUCAACAGAUUUCUGCUUAAAUUACAUUACAACCGGCCCCAAAAUUAUCAGAAAAGCAAGGAAUUCAGUCCAACACAUGCAGAAAACAUAUGCGAACAAAAUUACCGACCCUCAACAGAAAAAAAAAAUCAUGAUGACAGACCCACGGCAGCCAUGCUUCUGAAAUUCAUUCUUGAAGAAAAAAAAAACUGAAAUGUAAAAGGGAAAGAAUAGCUUACAUCGUUUCUCACGGUAAAGAUUCACGAGCGGCAGCGGUGAAUUCCGCUGAUGCGGUGGCGAGCAAUGGUGAUUCCAGUGAACGGCAGCAGCUACAAGCUUUUCGAAUUUGCCCUUUAUUUUUGCUGAAGCUUUCUUCCUCUGCUUCCGUUCGCGGCCGGGGACUUUUCCUCUAUUCUUCAUGUCGCUCUGUUCUUUUUGGCCAAAACCUCCCCUAUUUUCCCUUUUGCUGUUUUUCGUUGAUUGUUUCUUCCAUUUAUGCUCAGCCCGCCGCCCGGUUCCUCUUUUUUCCUGCUUUCCUUUCUUUUGCUCUCGGACGAAAUUUUUCUGUUUUUGUUCUUUUGCCCCUGCUCGGCAAUUCCGCCGCCCCUGCCCUCUCAGCUCUCAAGCCUUUUUGCUUUUUGCUCUCCCUUUUAGCCGCCACCCUCCUCGGCCUUUUCUCCGUGUUUUUUCCCUUUUUUCCUCAGAUUCUUAGCCCCCAGCUUCCCCUUGUUUUGUCUAGCCUCUGUUUUUUCCCCUUGCCCGCUGCUUGGCCCCUCUAUUUUUAGCUCUUUUCUCUUCCCCCUGUUUUCAAGCCUCUUCGAGGGUUUUUUCUUCCUUUUUUUCCGAUGCCCCCCAAAAAACCCCCCAAGUGUCCUUGACAGCUACCCCCUAUACACUUGUCCUACCAUUCCUCAACCACUUGUCUAAUGCUUAUUUGCACACUUGUUCAACAUGCAAUUGACACACUUGUUUAACAUGCUUAAUUUUUAAAAAUUACCUUGCAAAAUGCCUUAGCAAGAAAAAAUCAAAUUUUAAAAAGAUAAAAUGGAUCUUUAUUCGGGAUUUUCCUAAAAUUUAGUGUAAAAUUGCUUUAAAAAGAAAAUGAUGAAUUUUAAUGCAUUUAAAAUAAGAAUGAACAUCAAUUACCAUUUGCAACCUCCAAUCAAUUAAAAAUAAUAAAUAUGAGACAAGAAUAAAUAAUAAUAAUAAAACUAAAAAUUGAAUCAAAGGAAGUCAAAAUUGAAUGAAUAAAGCUAAAACUGAAUCGAUGAAAUUUUUGGUGUCUACAAUCAUCAAACUGUAAAUAAGGAUCAUCAGAAACUCCUAGCAAUGAUGGCUCUUCAAAAGCAUCCGAUAAGUGGGGGCAAGAAAUUUUUUCCGAGCAGCUCAUAUAGGCUAGCUGACAGUCAUUGAGCAAUCAGAACACAGACCGAAAACUUUCUGCGAUUAAGUAACAACUAGUUUCAAGGACAAGAAGCCAGGAAAAAAAGAGCAAACUUGUAGUAAUGUACUAAUAUAGCAAGUAAAUUCUUACUGCUAGACCUUGUGGUUGAAACGAUAGAUUGAUAGUGUACAAGCUCCAACGAUAAGGAUAUCAGGUGUUGGCUAUCUGAGACAGCAAUAUGAAAGAAAAGAGUGCCAUCAUAAACAUUUCUGUCCAAGAUACUGGCUAUGCAAUUCAACGAGUAAUUAGUAGCCAAUGGAGAUUUCUAGUUAAACUUUGAGCCUAAGUUCACCGCAAAACAGAAAAUUCGAACUCAAAUAUUAUGUAGAGAGCAAGAAAUCUAACAAGCCAAUUCAGAUAAUUUCAUGAAGCUAUUGUUCGGUCAAUCCUACAAAAACAAAGCAUGGAACAGAAUAUGAACAGAGUUAUAGUAAUACAUCAAAGCAGGGAGCAGGAUAGGUGCUUUGUUUCAUGCUAAUUGAUGGUUACAAGAGUAUUAUGUUGUUAGGAGUAAUGAAAAGCACCAAUAUUUUGGACCUGCUAAGGAAUGCUAAUGGUGUAGCUUUGAAAGAUAAUAAAUAGGACUAGAAAAAGGAAGAAGAGAAAAUUGUGAUGAAGGUUAAUCAAAAUGGGGUGGUGAAGAGAAGGCAAAUCUCAAAACGACAAAGAGAUUGAUUAUAAGGCAGGAGGCAGUCUUACAUGAUUGAAUUCGAUUUGAAGAUGAACUGUUAACCACUUAUGUCUAGUUAUUGAAUAUGAGUAACUUUGGACCACUGGGAGUCGGGGCUGCUGCUCUCAGGAGUGCAUCUUUCUUUUAACACAGGAGAACCAUAAACGUGCAGACAUUUUAGUUUGGUGAGACUUCUCAUGGCAUCCUCAGAGGGUAGAUGUCCAAGCUCUUUGAAAUCAUAUAAAUAUAGUUCUUCAAGAGCAGCGAAGUUUCCGAACCAAUCUGGCAGAGCUUUUAUACCUCCAAAGUAACCUAGCGCGAGUGACGUGAGAGCGGUCAAGUAUUGGAUCUGAGGUGGCAGGGACUCCAUGUGUGGCAACCCAUAUAAGUAUAAUUCACGGAGUGCGGAUGAUGAAGAGGAGGAGGAGGAGGAUAUCAAUCCAGACCAAUCAAACUCAUUGUAAAUUGAAGAAUUUUCAUGAUCAUCACCAUCAUCUAAGAAGGGACCAAUUGUAAGCUCCCUUAAGCUGGUUAGGAAACCAAAUCCUUUGGGCAUCAUGCUUGUUUUCAGUUUGCGACACCACAAUAAUUUCAGCUUCUAGAGAGAAGGCGUUUGUUGCAAAUCAAGCGGAAAGGAGAUAAGAUUGUCGCAACAAACCACCCGAAGCUUUUGGAGAGAGGCACAAGAGUGUAGCAUGUCACCUGGCAGAUUCGUCAACCCACGGCAACCCCAAAUCUCCAGCUGUUUAAGAGACGUAGAGUUUUGUAGGGGAAGCAGUUCUCUGCAUCUGUUGCAGUAAUUAAAUUCCAAACUCGCUAACUUGGGGAGUGUUGUUGGCAAAUCCAUUAACCAUUGAGGAAAUUGAUCGCUCAUGAAAUUCGAAAUUGACAACUCCUUCAAAUUUGGGUGGGGUCGAAGGCCAUCUAACACAUCUUCGUCGUGGUUGUCACCUUCUCGAUUGUUGGUCCACUCAAGUCGCAACUUAGAUAGAUUUUUCUUUUCAGAUAGACAUGUUUUUUCAGCUCCUUCCUUAUCCUUUACUAGUUCAAGAUUGCGUAUCUCCAAACUGCCCUUGAGGUUUUUCAAGCAUCCAAGCUCUCUAACUUGUCUACCCUUCUCUCGACCCACAUUAAAGAACUUUAGUGUUUGAAGGCAAAUUAGUCGUCCCAUGUCUAGCGGCAUUUGAAAUUCUUUAUCACUUUUGUAAUAAUGAAGAUGUCUCAAGCUAAUCAAAUUGGACAUGCUCUUCGGAAGAUCAUCAACCGCUGAGUAACUCAGCGUCAAUGUUUGCAGAUUAUAAAGCUUGCAAAGGGAAUCCGGCAAAAUACGGAUUGCAGAUUCCGAAAGGUCAACACACCGCAAAUGCAUCAAUUUGCCAAUUGAGAUUGGCAACUCCUCAAUUUCUCCACGAGACAAAUUCAAAACAUACAAGUUCUUCAACUUCAUUAACAUGUCAUCAGAUAAGUCACCCUUUACAAACAAUGUAUGAAGCGAAGCUGAUAGACUCUCCAAAAGUUUUUCUCUGUCUUCUGCACCAACAAAUGAGUCUAUUGUAAGGUAACGAAUCUGAUUAUCGUUGUCUACUGUAUAUGUAUCCCCAUUAUUAAUGACUUUGGUAGACUUUGACAUUGACUCUGCAAGGUCAUGCACCAAAUCAUGCAUCUUAUAAUAUGUUUUCCAAUCAUAUCUUAUUUCUUCAAACAAUGAACUCUGCAAUAAAAUUCUCAGAUAAUUCAUUCCAAUUUCCUCCAUCAUCAUUUGGCUGUUGACAUCUGCUUGGAGGAAACCUUCUGCCAUCCAAAGUUCGAUAAGCAUAUUCCUUUCUAUCUCACUAUCCUUAGGAAAUAUAGACCAAUAUGCAAAACAUUUCUUAAUGUAUGGAGAUGGCAAAUUAUCAAAACUCAACUUAAGUAUUUGCAUGACACGAUCUUCAUCUCCACUAAAACUCAAAAGCCUAUUCUCCAAAAUUGAUUGCCACUCCUCUUUUCUCUUUAAACGUAAUAGACCUCCGAUUACACUUGCAGCCAAUGGUAGACCAUCACAUCUUUUGAUUACUCUCUCUUUAAUUGCUUUUAGUUCGUAAGGUACUUCUCCCCCUCCAACUACUUUUUCUUUUAGGAUAGACCAGCAAAGAUCAUCAGGUAGCCUUCCUAAGGCAUAGGCUUCAUCAUCCAUCAUCAAAGCUCCAGACACAAUACCUGCCACCUGACCACUACGAGUAGUGACAAGACACCAGCUUCCAUCAGUUGGAUUGAGUCCUUUCAAGGUGGUGAAAAGGUCAUCCCACAAUGCAUGAUUAUCAUCCCACACAUCAUCAAGAACUAGGAGAUAUCUUUUUCCCCCAAGUUGAUUCUGAAUUUUUUCAACGAUGACUUCCCUAACAUCUACUUCAACCUUUUCUUUUGUCAAAUGCACUAAUAUGAGUUUGAAAAGCUCCUCUAUUGGAACUUUUUUUGAUGCACAAACCCAAACCUUUUUGUCGAAGUGCCCAUCAAUUUGCUGAUUGUUGUAUAUCGAUUUAGCCAAAGUUGUUUUGCCUAGACCUCCCAUACCAAUUAUGGGAAGAACAGAAACAACCUUCUCAGACGGGCUCAACAGCAUCUUCACUAUCUUUGAUUCAUCAUCGGCUCUUCCAACCAUUGGAGCAACAACUGAGUCGGUCUGCCGAUUUCUUGUGUCUCCAGCAGCAGGAGCAGCAGGGAGGGUAGCUGUCAAGACUGGCC